rnacentral:lncRNA from 1 species
ACAUCAUCUGUGGUGUUUUUAUGUUUUGGCAGCGUUGGAGCAUUCCACAUGGAUCAAAUCAAAGAAAUUGCAAUUGGGCUUGAGAAUAGUGGGCAUCGUUUCUUGUGGACGCUCCGACGACCUCCACCAAAAGGUAAGAUCGCAAUGCCUACUGAUUAUGUGAAUUUCGAGGAAGUACUACCUGAAGGGUUCUUAGAUCGUACAUCUAAAAUUGGAAAGAUAAUUGGAUGGGCACCACAAACGGCUAUUUUAGCUCACUCUGCAAUAGGAGGGUUUGUAUCUCAUUGUGGGUGGAAUUCUACAUUAGAGAGCAUAUGGUAUGGCGUCCCGGUAGCUACAUGGCCUAUGUAUGCAGAACAACAAUUGAAUGCGUUUCAAAUAGUAAAAGAGUUAGAAAUAGGGGUAGAGAUCAGAUUAGAUUAUAAAAAGGAUACUAGUGAUAUUGUAAAUGCUCAAGAAAUUGAGAGUAGAAUAAGAAGUUUGAUGGAGGAUAGCAAUGACAUAAAAACAAAUAGGGCAAAGAUGAAAGAAAAGUGCGUGACAGCCCUAACGGAAGGUGGAUCUUUAGAUUCUAGCUUACAACGUCUAAUUGGAGACAUGAUAACUAAUAUCUCAUGAAGCAAUGUUUUAUCAAAGAAAAGUUAUAAGUUGUUAAAAAUGCUUAUUUCAAUUGCCUUUUAAUAAUAUAUUGGUUGAGUGUCGUGGAAAGGUUGAUUCAACUAUUUACUUAUUUUAAAUAAAAAUAAGCGUAACAUAUGUUAUGUCUUGUGUAACAAUUUUAUUUUAAUAUUAGGUGAUGUAUCAAAUCCAAAUUGCAUGUUUAUUUUAUUAUUUAAAGUUUGUUAAAGAAACGAUAAAUGCAUGAUAAUAAAAAAUUUAAAGUAAAAUAGGCCAACUACAUGGAUGAAGUUUUUCAUUUGGAUAUUUAAUUAGGAGUCUCUACAUUUUCCUUUUUCUAAUAUUUAAAAUCUUUUUUACUUAUUUAAACAAAAUAUUAAAUAUGUAAAAAGUCUACCUUUCACCUUUUAAACAAAUAAAAAAAAUACAAAAUAGUUUUAAAUCCAAUUUAAUCCUACAUAAUCAAAGUACAAAUAAAGCAAUAUUCAACGACGUGGAAGAGACAAAUAAAAUAGAGGAAGGCUUUUUAAUUAUUUUAAAUUUUGGUGUAUUAAAUAUUAAUAUUUCUAUGCAUUUUUUUAAAGACGGGGACAUAAAAAGGUUUUACGCUUUCUCAUCUUAUAUGUCAUGUUCUUGUAAACCCUUAUACUAAAUUAGCAUGUCCCAUUGUCAUUUUCAGUCAAUUUGAUGUUUAAUUUUGUUGUUAUUAAAUUGUGAAAGGUUAACAUAGACCUCCAUUUUUUAUAUAUCUUCUCACUCAAUGGUAAGAUUCGUUUUUUAUUUGUGAAAAUCUGAUUUCUAAAAAAGUAGAGUCGUUACUUAUUUUAAUUUAAUUUUUAUGAAAAAAAUAAAAUAAGAAAAACCACAUAUUACUCCUUAUUUGAAAAAAAUAAUAAGUUUGUAAACCAAAAGCAAAUUCACUGAUCAAGUUAUUUAUCGAGAAAGUAUAAUAAUGAACUGUAACACUUUUCUAAGUCUGUGUCUAUAAUUUAUACUAAAUGAAUGAAGAAAAUUAUAACAAUUGAUUAAUUAAUUAUAAAUAUAAAAAAAGUAUGAUGCAAAUAUGAGUAAUAAGAUAAGGUAGAGACAAGUUACAAGAAUAUACAAAAUUUCAAUUUAUUUGCAAAAGAUUUGAUUUUUAUUCAAAUUCGAAUUUAUUUUGAAAAUGACUUUUCUUGUUUUUAUUAAAGGAGAUUAUUGAAUGUAAUUUUACUAAAAAAAAUGUUCAAUUUGAUUUUAUUUAUAAGAAAUGAUUUUUAUUUAUGUUUGUUAGGAAAAGAAUGAAUUUUUACAAUUUUAUUUUUAAUAGAAUAUUUUAUUGCAAAUUUUAUUUUAAAAAUGGAUUUUUACAAAUUAUUUAAUAUGUAUAUAUAUAUAUAUAUAUAUAUAUAUAUAUAUAUAUAUAUAUAUAUAUAUAUAUAUAUAUAUAUAUAUAUAUAUAUAUAUAUAUAUAUAUAUAUAUAUAUAUUUUUUUNNNNNNNNNNNNNNNNNNNNNNNNNNNNNNNNNNNNNNNNNNNNNNNNNNNNNNNNNNNNNNNNNNNNNNNNNNNNNNNNNNNNNNNNNNNNNNNNNNNNUAUUUAUUUAUAUAUUUUUAAUAAAAAAAAAAAAUAUAUAAAUAUAUAUAUAUAAAUAUAUAUAUUUAUAUAUAUAUUUUUAUAAAUAUAUAUAUAUAUAUAUAUAUAUAUAUAUAUAUAUAUAUAUAUAUAUAUAUAUAUAUAUAUAUAUAUAUAUAUAUAUAUAUAUAUAUAUAUAUAUAUAUAUAUAUAUAUAUAUAUAUUAUUAUUAUUAUUAUUUUUUACAAAUUUGGUUUAUUAUACUAUAAAAUAAAUAUUAUAGCAUAAGGUUUCUUGCAAAAAUCAGAGUAUCAAUUUACAUAUUGAUUCAAUCAUAUGAUCGAUGAUCCCUAAAGGAAUUGCUUAGUUUAUUAUGUAUAUGCAUUCAUAGAUAUCUUAAAAUCCCCAAAGGAUUCAAAAUGUCUUAAACAAAUAAUUCCCCGAAAUAUUAAUAUAUAUGAAGCAAAUAAUUAUCUCAAGGAUAAAAAUAUCUAAAGCAAUGAUUGAAAAUCUUAUAUUACAUUUGCGAUCAUGAUGAUAAUAUAUUUUUAUCAAUUUAUGUCAUUAUACUGAUUAAAGUGUAGGUUUGUAAUUGUUAUAAGCUCAUUGAAACUCUUGAAGAGCUAAUAAAAGCGGUUAAUUAAUUACUAAUUAAGGAUCUUAGAAAACCAAAAUUUUACCUUAGCUUGUAGAUUAAACACUUUCCAAAUGGAAUGUUAGUUCAUUAGUUAGCAUAUACAAAAAGUCCUAAAGUACUUUCAUAUAGACAAAUCAUACGCACUUAACUCUUCUAUGAUUGUUUGUUCACUUGAAGUGGAUAAAAAUAUGUUCCAUCCCAAAGAAGAGAAAAGAAAAAAAGUUUGGUCCAAGAGUAUCAUAUCUUAAUGCAAUUGGUACAUUGAUGCAUUUGGUAAAUUGUACCUUAUUAUAGUAGCAUUUUCUAUCAAUUUGCUACCAAGAUAAAACUCUAAACCAACAUGAAAACAUUAGAAUAAGACCAAACAUGUAUUACAAUAUCUUUGCGGAGCAACUAAUAUGAGUUUAUUUUAUUCAAAAUGAGAAAAAACUCAACUACUUAGAUAUAUGGAUGUUAACUAUCAUUUAGUUGACCCCCACAAAGCUCAACCCAAAUGGGAUAUAUAUUUAUCUAUAGUAGUGCAAUUAUGUCAUGGAGAUCAAUCAAACGAUCAAUGAUAAUCACUUCUUCAAAUUAUUUAGAGAUACUUUCAAUUCAUGAAGCAAAUCAUGGAUGUGUAUGGUUAAGGUCAAUGAUUCAACAUAUUCGGGAAUCAUGUAGACUACCCUCUAUCAAAGAUAAUAUUAUCAAGUUACAUGAAGAUAAUCCUAUUUGUAUUAUACAAAUUAGAUGAAGAUUUAUAAAAGGUGAUAGAACUAAGUAGAUCUCUACCAAAUUCUUUCAUAGCUCUAAGAGGAUGGUGAAAUCAAUAUUUAGCAGAUCAAGUUGUAUGAUAAUCUAGUAGAGAUGUUCACAAAGUUACCAUCGAAUACAUUGAAAUGGUUAAGAUACAAUAUUGGAAUGAGGGAAUAGAGAGAUUUACCAUUGAAGAGUUGAAGAAAGCCUGAUCAUGUUUACAUGAGGAGAAUACUAACAUGGAUAUAUUACACUAUUUUUUCUUUUGUUCAAGUUUUAUCCCAUUGGGUUUUACUGACCAGGUUUUUAAUGAGACAAUUCUAAUGGUCAAAUUAUUUUAAGGGUAUUGUACACUUUGUCUUUCACUAAGUAUUUUUCCACUAGAUGUUCCUCAUUAAAGUUUCAAAAAGUCAUAUUCUUAUGGUCAUACAAGGGGAAGUGUUAUGAAUAAUGGAGUUUGCCACAAGAAUUUGUUAAGAUAUGGGAACUUGUAGAUGAUCAUCCAAUUUUUGAUAUAGAUGAUUAUCUAAAAUGUCGUUGUAAAUCUCCUUUUGACUUUUUAUAAAAGUGAGACCUUCUAACGAAUUGAAUAUACUACUCUAAGCAUAAUAAUUUGUUUAUCUUUCAAUUUCUUCUUCUUUUAUUUUAUAACAAAGGUUUUAGUUUUAGUUUUCCAAAAAAUUGAAUUUCAAAAAUAUUGAAAUAUAUAUAUAAAAAAAUCAACAAAAAACAAUUGUAAUACAAACAUGUGGCCUAAUAAGAGUGCACCACACAGUAAAAGAAUAAGUCAACUGAGAAGUGUGGAAUAAUUUUAUUUUUUUUAAAUGAUUUACUAAAAAAAUAUCAUGCAAUGCAAAACUUGUCAAUUUCGUAAUAUUAUAAUUAUUUCCUAUUAAAUAUUUGAAAAUAAAAAGGAAAAAAUGAAAUAAAUUGCAUACAUGUUCAAUUUUAACAUAAAAAAGAAACACAAAUUUGUUUUAAAUAAAAGAAAUGAAUUGUGUAAAUUAAUUACAUGUAGUCCUUUUUAUUUAAAUAAUCAGAAUUUUAAAAUUUGAGUUUUUUAAAAAUUAAACUAGAAAAAUAUUGAAAUAUAAAAGAAAAAUUGUUUUCAUAAAUAUAUAUAUAUAUAUAUAUAUAUAUAUAUAUAUAUAUAUAUAUAUAUAUAUAUAUAUAUAUAUAUAUAAAUAAUAAUAAUUCAUAUAAUUUCAUAAAAAUUUAAUAAAACAUAAGUUUGGUAUUAUAUGUUAAAUGAGGUUUUGAUUUUUUAAAAACUUUGACUCGAGAACUUCGACAUUGGAAGGAACAAAAGAUGUAUUUUAGAGUUUAAGGUUAGUUACUUUGCUUGUUCAUACAAUGAUAUUUGUAUUAUUUUUCUCAAAUCAUUUAUGCAUACACCGAACUUGUGCAAUUAUGACCAUCACCUAGUAAUGAGGAUCAUACCUUAACUUCACGAAGUUAAAGAUUAAAAAUCAUUUUCUUACUGAAAAACAUAAAGAUAACCAUUAAUAUUUUUUAGUUCCAACAUGAUAACUCUUUUUUUGGAUUUCAAAUAAAUAAUUCAAUUUGAAUUAAAAUCCUUUAUAUAUAUAGACACACAUAUAUCAUCAUUAUCAUCAUCAAAGUUUUAAUACGUCUCCCAUUGACACAAUUUCAUCAUCACCCACUAUUUUUUUUUUCCAACGAAAUGUUCUCCCUAAAUAUUUUACGCAACAAAAUAGUUUGUGGCAAAAAAGUUACUUUUCAUAGUGCAAAAUUUGUUGCCAUAAGGCCUGAAUUCAUGAAACUUUUGUUGGAAUUUAUAUAGGUGAAUGGAAAUUAGGAUUUUCUUUUUCUUGGAAAAUAUGUUAUUUCUUAAUAAACACAAUUUGUUUUAAAGGAUGUGUCUUAUAUUUAAAAAAUACGUCCUCUUCCAAAGGAUGUGUUUAAUGUCUUAAGACAUAAUCCUUCAAAUGAUGUGUUUAGUAUUUUAAAGACAUGUCUUUUCUAAAGGUCACCUUCAAGUUUAUAAAUGGGGAACCCCUGUCUCCCAUGGCACUUUCAUUCAUUCAUCCAUUCUCUCCACUCUUUCUCUUUUCUUGUCAUUCAAGUCCUCCUUAACUUCAAGUCUAAUUAUUUCUCUUUUCUACCAAAUAUUUAGUAUACAAGAGAGUACAAAUCACCAAGUGAUUCACCGUUUUUUGUGAUUUGAAGUGCUAUUAUCACAAGAAAGUGAUUAUUGUAUCCUGGAAGACGAUUGUCAAUAAACCAUAAACACAAUGAUAUAGAGUCAAACUUUAGUCUCAAUCAACCUUAUUUGUGAGUUUCAAUUUUCUACUUUAUUUUAUUUAUAUAUUUAUUAUACACACUUAUUAUCCAUAUAUCUUCAAUGUUUUAGAUAGAAAUCUUAAGACAAAUUUUAUUUUAUUUUUUACAACUGAAUUUUUCUUUUUAAGUGAAUCUGUUAUUGGGAUUGAGCCCCAAAAAAGUAAGACAUGAUGUAACAAAGUUAGACUUAACCAUCCACAUGCUAUCCCUUUGGUAUAUUGACAUUGAUUUGAGCAUUCAACUCAUGUCUCUUACAUUGUACAUGACUUGAGUGCAUUAUGAGUUCCACUAAAGAUACAAGUCAUGAGUUCUUUGUAAGUAGAUAAAUUGUCCACAGUUGGUUUAUGAAUUUGGGCAAUCCAAUAGAGACUCUAGUGCACCACCUCCUAACUAGAGGGAUGACUUGGCUUGGCUGUGGGAAUGGAUUUCCUAUGGUGAGUGCACUAGUGUAUGUGAUGUACACUAGAAAGGACCUAAGGUGAAUCAUCAUGCAAGGCUACCAAUUGUCACAAUUCACCAAGCUACUAGACUGCAUGUACUCUCAACCUUGAGAGGAUAUUGAGUUUGUGUCAAAAUCAACAGGAGGUUUUGACCUAUGGGUGAGACCUUAAAGUGGUCACAUAUCCUUAUGGAUUGGGUCACUAUUAAUGGAGUUCAUGGCAACAAGUAUUCUCAAUAAAAACAACAUGAUAUCUCAUAGGAUUGAGAUAGUGUAUCUCAUUAGGUGAUCCAAAGGACAUGUGAUCAUGUAAUCUUUGGCCAUAAUAAUUCCUUUAGUGGAAUUUGACAUUUGCUCAUUAGAGCUAGAGUAUGUUAAUCGAUUACAUAAUAAGUGGAAUAUGUAACUCAAUGAUUUGAGAGGUAAUCUCAAUAGGUGAUAACACUACCUUGUUAGAUUACAAACACCAGUUUAUGGGGAGUUUGCAUGUACUGGAUAGUAAGUCACGGACUUGGGCACUUGAUGUCUCGUUAUAAUAUACAUAUGGUACUGAAGUGCAGUUGACUCUCUAUAGUGGGAUGUUGAGCCAAUUUCAGAAUUUGAUUCUGAGGAAGCCAAUGAAUAUGGGUCCUAAUGGUCUCUACUCUAAGCUCAUAUUCCUUAUUGGCACAGUUUAUGAGGUUUGGAUGGGUUUUUAGUUCACUUUUUUUGCAUAGAGGCAUUUUAGUAAUUACAUAAGGUUGCACAAGGAUAAGUGGGUGGUAUCUCUAAACUGGGUUAAUUGAUUAAUUAAGGCCUUGUAUGGUUAAUUAAUCAAUUAGUAACCUUUUUUAGUUAUAUUAAGUGACCUAAGCCUAUGAUGACUCAAGUCACUUGAGCUUAAUAGGAAGCUUAUAAAUACCCUUUUAAAGGUUAAAGUUUUAAAGUCUUGUCAUUCUCUCCUUUAGUUUAGAUAGAAAACCAUAGCCUUUAUCCUUGAGAGCUCCACCAUCUUAGUGCCUAGACAUAAGAAAGAGUCAUCAGGCGAAAGAUCAUGGUGAUUACGAGAUCUAUUACACUUUGGAGUUAUCUACAUUGAUUGGAAUUGAUCCGAGAACAUCCAAAUCAAAUGUAUGUGACUCUAUUCUCUAUAUCUAUGUUUUUUAUGGUAUUCUUAUUGUUUUUUAAUACCUAUUUAUCCACUACGAUAGAUUUGGAGAGCCUAGGAUAGAUUUGUAUGUACCCUACACGAUCUAGCACAUGGGAACAAAGUAAUCCAAGGUUCCCAACAAUUGCAUCUUCUAUUAUACCUCUUAUUAUUGCACAUGGUGAGAAACCUAGAAGUUCACUAGGAUAGACUUCAAGAAGUGGCUAAAGCACCCUUUCAUUCUAUUGAAAGGAACAUUAAGCCUUUAGAAUUAAUUCACAUUGAUAUUUGUGAUUUAAAGUUUAUGCAAACUAGAAAAGGAAAAAAGUAUUUUGUCACUUUCCUUUAUGAUUGCACAAGAUACAGUUAUGCAUAUUUUCUAAGAAACAAAAAUGAGGCCCUAGAAGUGUUUAAACACUAUAAGAAUGAGGUUGAAAAUCAACUUAGCAAGAAGAUAGAGAUGAUAAGAAGAGAUAGAGGUGAAUAAUAUAAACCACCUUUUGAUGAGUUCUAUUUAGAGCAUGGUAUUAUUCAUCAAGCCACUGCUCCUUAUUCACCUCUAUCAAAUAGUAUUGUUGAAUGCAAGAAUCGAACAUUAAAGGAUAUGAUGAAUGCUAUGUUGAUAAGUUCUUAUUUAUCCUAGAAUUUGUAGAGGGAAGAAAUUCUUUCUGCUACCCACGUUCUAAACAAAAUACCACACAAGAAAAAUGAUGUAAAUCCAUAUGAAUUAUGAAAAGAAAGAAAACUAUCUUCUAAAUAUUUGAAAUUGUGAGGGUGUUUAACUAACGUAGUUAUUUCUAACUCUAAAAAAGUUUAUCGGUAAUGCCAAUAAUAGUAGUGCAUAUCAGUUCCUUGUAUAUAAAUUAUACAUUCUUGAUAUUCAUGAAAAUACAAUCAUUGAGUAAAGAAAUGUCUUAUUUUAAGAGAACACCUAUCCAUGUAAAAGUAUACCAGAGAAAAGUUCUCAAAAAAGAACAUAUGAGACUGCUAGUAGUAGUCAUCAAGAUGUUGAAGAACCCAGACACAGUAAAAGGGUCAAAGUAUCUAAGUCAUUUGUUCUUGAUUAUCUAACUUAUAUGUUAGAAAAUGAAUCUCAUACAUUUAAGGAAGAGCAUAGAAUAGCAUGUAUAAUGGUAAGUUUUUACAUAUACGUCAAAGACACAAUAUAGUAAGAUAGUUACUUUCAAAUGAAGUGAUUUCCAUUGAUUACAUGAAAUCAAAAGACAGUCGUAUAGAUCUGACUUACUAAAGGUUUGCCAAGAGAUCAAGUUAACUACUUAUUGAGGGGAAUGAGAUUAAAGCCUAUGACCAAAUAGUCUUCAUAAUGGUAACCCAACCUAGUUGGUUGGAGAUCCCAAGAUCUAGGUUCAAAGGGACAACUAAGUUAUGAAUGACUAAAACAAACACUAAAGAUAUUAUCUCUUUUACCUAUUCCUAUGAUGAAAUAGUGUUUUUCUAUAAUGUGAACUUGGUUAAGCUUUGCUUUAAUGAAUCCUAUAGCUUGGAAAACAAGUGGGGUAUGGUAGGAUACUCUUAAUAGGAAUCACGUAUGUGAGUGUGAAAUUGGGUCAUUUCUAUGAGAAUUUUUAAGGCUAAAAUUCUCCAUGACACUCAUGAAAUCAAGAUUUGUCCAGGGCCAAAAUGAACACAACUAUGAGAAUUAAUGGUGAUUCAGAAAGGAAUUGAGUGGAUAUUAUUGCAUAUCAGUUCCUUGUAUAUAAAUUAUACAUUCUUGAUAUUCAUGAAAAUACAAUCAUUGAGUAAAGAAAUGUCUUAUUUUAAGAGAACACCUAUCCAUGUAAAAGUAUACUAGAGAAAGUUAUCAAAAAAGAACAUAUGAGAUUGCUAGUAGUAGUCAUCAAGAUGUUGAAGAACCCAGACACAGUAAAAGGGUCAAAGUAUCUAAGUCAUUUGUUCCUGAUUAUCUAACUUAUAUGUUAGAAAAUGAAUCUCAUACAUUUAAGGAAGAGCAUAGAAUAGCAUGUAUAAUGGUAAGUUUUUACAUAUACGUCAAAGACACAAUAUAGUAAGAUAGUUACUUUCAAAUGAAGUGAUUUCCAUUGAUUACAUGAAAUCAAAAGACAUUCGUAUAGAUCUGACUUACUAAAGGUUUGCCAAGAGAUCAAGUUAACUACUUAUUGAGGGGAAUGAGAUUAAAGCCUAUGACCAAAUAGUCUUCAUAAUGGUAACCCAACCUAGUUGGUUGGAGAUCCCAAGAUCUAGGUUCAAAGGGACAACUAAGUUAUCUCUUUUACCUAUUCCUAUGAUGAAAUAGUGUUUUUCUAUAGCGUGAACUUGGUUAAGCUUUGCUUUAAUGAAUCCUAUAGCUUGGAAAACAAGUGGGGUAUGGUAGGAUACUCUUAAUAGGAAUCACCUAUGUGAGUGUGAAAUUGGGUCAUUUCUAUGAGAAUUUUUAAGGCUGAAAUUCUCCAUGACACUCAUGAAAUCAAGAUUUGUCCAGGGCCAAAAUGAACACAACUAUGAGAAUCAAUGGUGAUUCAGAAAGGAAUUGAGUGGAUAUUAUUGUUUUUAUUUACAUCAACAACUAAACAGUUCAAGAUAUCACGUUCACUGAUUAGCUAGUAAAUUUGAUAAUAUUUCACUAAGAUUCAAAGUCACAAGUUACCUAUCCUAACACAAUUACUUUCCAACUUGUACUCUUUUGAUUGUUUAGCUUGUCAUUUGAAUUUUUUUAAGACAAUUUCCAUUCAUGUGAGGGAUUAUUGGAAUUCAUAUAAGUGAAAGGAAAUUAGGAUUUUUUUUCUUAGAAAACGUGUUGUUUCUUAAUAGACACAACUUAUUUUAAAGAAUGUGUCUUGUAUUGAAAAGACACAUCCUCUUCCAAAGGAUGUGUCUUGUAUUUAAAAGACACAUCCUAUUCCAAAGGAUCUGUUUAAUGUCUUAAGAAACAAGCCUUCAAAGGAUGUAUCUAGUAUUUUAAAGACAUCUCUUCUAAAGGUCACCUUCAAAUCUAUAAAUAUACAUUUCUUCUGAAUGAAUAUUCAUCCAUUCUCUCCACUCUUUCUCCUUUAUUAUUAUUCAAGUCCUCUUUAGCUUCAAGUCUAGUCAUUUCCUUUUUUUUACCAAAUAUUUGGUAUACAAGUGAGUACAAAUCACCAAGUGAUUCACCAUUUUUUUUAUUUUUUUUUGUGAUUUGAAGUAUUACUAUCACAAAAAAGUGAUUGUUGUAUCCUAUGACACGAUUGUCAAUAAACCAUAAGCACCUGAGUGGGACAAAUUCGUCUUAAGAAUAUAAAGUCAAACUUUAGCCUCAAUCAACCUUAUUUGUGAGUUUCAAUUUUCUACUUAUUUCAUUUUAUUUGUAUAUUUAUUAUACACACUUAUUAUUCAUACUUUUUUUCAAAGAUUUGGACGACUUUAGUAGUAAAUAGAGAUUUCUUCUCCAAACAUGAUUUUAGGAGAAGAAAUUAUGUUUAUGGAAAAAAUUUUAUUAUAGAAAAUCAAAUUUAAUGUAGUAGACCUUGACCUAUUGUGUUUGAAAGUCUAUGAUUAUUGAUAAAAAAAAAAAAAUUAAUGUUAUUUUUCUUUUAAUUACAAGCCUUAUAUAUAUAUAUAUAGUUAAUAUUUAAGUAAAAAACCUUUUAGAAAUGUCAAGUCAACUCUAUUUAUGGAAUAGUUUUAAAUUUUCCUUUUAGCGAAAGUUGAAAUAAAAGUAAAAUAACUACUUUUAUUAUAAGUUGAUUUUAUGUUUGGAAUUAAAUGCUUUUAUUCAAAAUAAAGAAUAAUUAAGAUAUUUUUAAAUUUUAGUUAAAUAAAACUUGUUGAAUACACCAAUAUUUUCUCUCUUUACACCCAUCUUAUUUUUAAUUUUUUCUUCAUCAUCCUUUUGACACUCAUGUCUCAAAUCUUAAUUAGCUUUCUUAUUCACUUUUCCUCUCCUUUCCUUUAUUUUAUUUAAAUUUUCUUUUAACUAAAAUAGAAAAACAACUAAAAAAUAAAAAGGGUGGUGUGCAACCAUGACUAUUGUUGUUAUAGAUAUAAAAGAAUUGAUGGGUUAAAUUACCACUAAAUUAAUCAUCAAAACUUUAACUUUUUAACUCAAUAAAAUUUAGACUUGACAAGCAAUGAGUCAUACACAUUGAAUAAAUCUUAUGUAAUUCAAAAAGUGAUAUAUGAUUAAAUUUGAAAGGCUAGGAAAUCAAAUCUUGUAAAAUAAAAAUAAAAUAAAAUAAUUAAAGUAAAAAGAGAAUUAGAAAAAGAUAUUCUCUUGUUUGUAAAUUUCUGAAAUGAAAGAAACAAAUUAUUUAAUUGAAGUCAAAAGAGAAUUGUAAAGAAAUAUUCUCUUGUUGAUAAAUUUUUUAAAUGAGGGACACAAAUUGCUAAAUCAAUUUAUCAAAUUCCUUAAAUUGAGUAAUCAAAUAUUGGGGAUUCCAAAUUUAAUUUCUUAACUUCACCUAUAAAUAAAGAUCAACUUCUUCAAUAUAGGGGAUUAAAAAAUAAAUAAAUAAACUUUAGAAGAAGACAAAGAAAAAAGGUUUCACAAAAUGGCCCUACAAGUCCAACAAAAGCACAUGAAAAACUAGAUAUAUAUUUUUCACCGUUCUCAAAGUUCAAUAAAGUCAUUUAGAAACAAGCUAUGCAAAACUCUCAAUUGAACUUUAAUUUCAAAGAAAUACUUACACCGUCAUUCAUUGGAUUGUGAUUAAAACAAUCAAAUCAGAGAAAAAUUUUCUUUACAAAGAAUAUUAUAAUAGAGAAUUGUACCUCAUAAUUUUUCUAAUUGGGAAAAUUUAGGUAGGUGUAUUUAACAAUUCUUUAAAAAAUAAAUUUUAUCCCUAAAAAAUUAAUAUACAUUUAUAGGAGCACUAAGUGACAAAAUUCGAAACUAAUGGAUGUUUGAUGUAAUGCUAUGAAAAUUAGACUGAAUGAGGGCCCAAUUGCUCUGAAUCACCACAUGAAGCCAAAAAUGAGUUGAAUCAGUAUUAAAUCAGUCCAACCACUAGGUGAGUAAGCUCAACCAAUUCAAAAGCUGCACUUUAUUCCCUUUUUUCUUUUCCAAAACUCACCUAACAGUCCAAGUCACUCACCCUCCUCACAUAGUUUUUAUUUUUUAUUUUUUUGUUAAUGUUUGGAUAUGGGAAUAAAGAAAAAAUACAAGACAUGCAAGCAAGGGAAAGGAAAAGUAAUGGGAGGGAUAAAAGAUUCAUAAUAAUGAUAAGGGUCUAGGUAUGGUACAAAUAACACCUUUUUAGUAGCAAUUUGUGGGUGUUACAUGUGCACUGGUUCAUUGCUUUGUUCUUAGCAUCUCAUUAUUUUGUAUUGUGUCCACCCAAGUUGGAUCAAUCUAUGCAUCACUUUCCUCCUCAAGAUCAAAAAACCAAAAAACAAAAAAAGGAUAGGUCGGUUAGGCAAACCUUUCUUCAACAAUCAAAUUAACCAUCAAGUUAAGUGAAAAAGACAUAAGAUGAAAUUGUUUUUGUAUCUUAUUUUGGAAGUGAGACUUCCUUUUAUAGAUUUAUUUUGGUGUAUUAAUUAUGAGAAGUUAAUAAAUGAAGCAUCAAUUCUAUAUUGUACCUUAAAUGAUUUACAUUAUGAGUAUCUUAAAGGCUCUAAUCAUUGUGCAAUAAUUAUGGAAUGACAUUCAAGAUUUUGGUCAUUAUGUGAUUAAUUUGUGAAUCAUUGUCAUUACAUAAUUAAUGUAUAGGUUAUCCUUUAUACAAGGUCGUGUUUUGCAAUAGUGAUCAUAUUUUGAGUGGGAGUCAUUCCUAAAUGUGAUCAAUGCUUUUUGUGAUGUGAUGAUGAUAAUGAUCUAUUAUUGUAGUGAGGUGGGUCUCAUGGGGCCUCAUGACAAGCAUUAUAUGGAGGUAGCACAUUGCUUUUUUUAACUCUGCUAUAUGACAAAGGAUUUUCAUUUCCCUACACUUCCUAUUUUACACGUGAACUAAUUAUUUUAUAUUUUAGUUCCAUUAUUGUGUAGUUUAGUCUUAUUACAUGCAUUACAUUUUAAUCUCAUUGAUCUAUAUAAUGGUUCCAUGUGUUUGUAACAUGGUUCUUUAUACUUUCAUUUAGUGACUCAAAUUUUAUUAUAUACUUAAAUCAUUAGGAUUAAAAUUUCAAUAUCAUAUCAAAUAUAAACCCAAUAUAUUCUUUUUUAUAAUAAUAAAUUUAUUGAAGAAAGGUAUGACUGAAUAUUAGAGAUUGUGGCUCUCAAGUUAACACUAAAAAAACUACGCACAUAGAAGAUUUUGUUGUUAAAAAACUUGAGGAGAAUUAUUUCCAACUAGUGACAUGUGUUAGGUAUAAAGUUGUCUUUAAUAAGAUUGAUAACUACAUUACUUAAAUAUAAAACCUUAUUGGUAAUAAUAGUAAAGGAUUGAUUAUGACACCAAAUACUACUUUUUUCGUAUCAUAUCAAAAAGUUGUCAUCAACUAAGGGUAUCAAAUGCAUGCAUGUUGAUCCUAUUACUUGUUUUAUACCAUAUAUGCGAUCUCAUUGAUCCAUACCUUUAUUCAAUUAUUUUGUACCAUGUGAUAGCUCGUUCCCUUGCUUUUGUUAUGUAUUACAUGGGACUUUGGUUCCAUUAUUUUGUAUUCAAGUGUUUUAUUAUUUUAUAAUUUAUAUAUAAUUUUAUUGUUUUCUACCUUAGUUUCACUGUUAUUAACUGUGAAUGACAAUUUCAAUCAAAAGUUUUCUAUGAUAUGGGAUGUAUAUUAUAUAUUAAAUUUAUCAUAGAAGGGAGAUAAUUGCUCCCCAUCUAAUGCUUGUCAGAAAAUUAGAGAUUUUUUUUCUAGAAUUGGGUCAAAAAGUUAUGUGUGACAUUUAAAUUUGCCUGCUUAUAUGAUGGAGAUAAGAACAUUUGGAAUUAGAGAAUUAGUGGAUGUUCAAUUAGUGGAAUUAAUUUAGAUAAUAUUGAAUGGAUGUCUUACAAAGUGGACUAAAUUUUAUCAAUUUGAUUGAUUCGAAAAAUUCAUAUGUUUAACAGAAUUAAUAUUUGUGACUAAUUAUAUCAAUUUCGACAUGAAAAGACAUUAUGAGAAUAAUUCCUUUUUCUAUUAAAAAUUGUCCGCUCCAUACGAAAAGACAAACUUGACAUGAAAAGAAAUAAUUUCAUAAAUAUUGAAUUAUAUUAUUUGUUAAGGAGGAUUGAAUAUUCUAUAUUCUAUUAGAGAUAUGAAUAUUCCCAGGAAAAAGAAACAAAAAAAGACAAAAAUUUGGAUGGAAAAGUCCAUGCAUUAGUAUUAACACAAUGACAGACGCCCACAGCCUAAGACUUCAACAUUAGAAAUAUGAAUAUUCUAUAUUCUAUUAGAGAUAUGAAUAUUCCCAGGAAAAAGAAACAAAAAAAGACAAAAAUUUGGAUGGAAUAGUCCAUGCCUUAGUAUUAACACAAUGACACACGCCCACAGCCUAAGACUUCAACGUUAGAGAUAUGAAUAUUCUAUAUUCUAUGUCGGCCAUGACAUCACCUCCAUUCUUCUUCUCCAAGCCAAAACCACAUGGUGAAGAUCUAUAUAUCUAUCUGAAUCAUCCGGUGUUUAAUUCCACUGAAAAUAAGAAAAUUUCUUAGAGUUCUCUCUGUUAGCCGUAGUAUUAGCUAGUGAUGAUGAAGAAAAUAGAGCUUAUUUUUGUCUCUGUCUCAGCUAUAGGACAUAUUGUAUCAACUGUGGAGUUUGCUAAGCUUCUUGUUGGUAGAGAUGACCGCUUCUCAGUCACUCUGCUCAUCAUGAAGCUACCUCUUGAGGACUCUGCGGCAACCAACUAUAUCCAUUCAGUUUCUGCUUCUGUUUCCGGGUCCAUUCGAUUUGUCCACCUUCCUGAACUCGACUCAGAUUCAUCAUCGUCAUCCACUAAUGUCUUAUUCUCUAAUAUCAUUGAAAGGCAGAAGCCUCUGGUGAGGGAUGCAAUCCACCAGCUCACUCGGUCUGAGUCGGGUCGACUCGCUGGGAUUGUGGUCGAUUUGCUUUGCACUUCCAUGAUAGAUGUAGCUAAUGAAUUGGGUGUUCCUUCCUAUGUGUACUUCGCCUCCAGUGCGGCCUGCCUUGCUCUCAUGUUUCAUCUUCAAACCCUCAAGGACCACCAGGGCGUGGAUGUUACUGAGUUUGCUAACUCGGAUGCUGAGUUGGUGGUCCCGGGUUUUGUCAACCCGGUUCCUGCUCGAGUCUUGCCUGCUGUGGCGGUGGACAAGGAGGGUGGCGGAUCCAUGGAUUUCCUCGACCUGGCAAGGGGCUUUAGAGAGGCCAAGGGUAUUUUGGUAAAUACGUUUGUGGAGCUAGAAUCUCAUGUGAUUAACUCCUUUGUCGAUGGUACAACUCCUCCCAUUUACAAAGUAGGGCCAUUAUUGAACUUACAACAUGCCAACAACCAAAAACCAGAUAGUGACUUGGACGUCAUCCGAUGGCUUGAUGAUCAGCCCACAUCAUCUGUGGUGUUUUUAUGUUUUGGUAGCGCUGGAGCAUUCCACAUGGAUCAAAUCAACGAGAUUGCAAUUGGGCUCGAGAAUAGUGGGCAUCGUUUCUUGUGGACACUCCGACGACCUCCACCAAAAGAUAAGAUGGCAAUAUCUAGUGAUUAUGUAAAUUUCGAGGAAGUAUUACCUGAAGGGUUCUUAGAUCGUACAUCUAAAAUUGGGAAGAUAAUUGGAUGGGCACCACAAACGGCUAUUUUAGCUCACUCUGCAGUAGGAGGGUUUAUAUCUCAUUGUGGGUGGAAUUCUACAUUAGAAAGCAUAUGGUAUGGUGUCCCAGUAGCCACAUGGCCUAUGUAUGCAGAACAACAAUUGAAUGCGUUUCAAAUAGUUAGAGAGUUAGAAAUGGGGGUAGAGAUUAGAUUUGAUUAUAACAUGGAUACUAGUAAUCUUGUAAGUGCUCAAGAAAUUGAGAGUAGAAUAAGAAGUCUAAUGGAUGAUAGCAGCAACAUUAGAAUGAAAAGGACAAAAAUGAAAGAGAAGUGCAUGAAGGCCUUGACAGAAGGUGGAUCUUCAGACUGUAGCAUACAACGUCUAAUUGGAGACAUCAUAACUAAUAUCUCAUGAAGCGCAAAUUAUAGCAAUGUAUUAUCAAAAAAAGGUUCUAAGUCCUUAAAAAUGUUUGUUUCAAUUGCUUUUAAUAAUGUAAUGGUUGAGUGUCAUAGAAAAAUUGAUUAAAAAAUUAAGUUGGAAAAAAUGUAUUGUCUACUUAUUUUAAAUAAAAAUAAAAAUGGCAUAUGUUACAUCUUGUGUGACAUCUUUAUUUUAAUAUUAGAUGAUGUAUCAAAUCCAAAUUGUAUGGGAAUAUAAAAGGGUUUUAGGCUUUCUCAUCUUAUAUGUCUUGUUCUUGUAAGCCCUCAUACGAAAUGAUCACAUCCCAUUGCCAUUUCCAUUCAAUUUGGUGUUUAAUUUUGUUGUUAUUAAUUGUAAGAGGUUAGUUUUACAAAUCUUCCUCAUAUUUGAUUAUAAAUAUUUGAAUUUUCAAUACCUAACCUUGUCUCAUGUUAUUUGGGAGUGGUUAUUAAAGGAUUAAAGUAACUUUGUCAAAGUUGUGGUUGUGAAAUGAUAAAAUUUUGGUUUUAGUAAUAUAAUUUUUUAGACUUAGGUAUUUGGUAAAUUAACUUAAUAAGUUAAAAUAACUUGAUAACUUAAUUUAAGUUAUUAAGUAAAUUAAGUAUGUUUGGUAAAAUAAAGAUUUAAAGUAAAAAACAACUUUAAGCAAUAAGGAAAAUAAUUAACUUAUUUUUAAGUAUCCUCAUUUGACAUUUUUAUCCCCAUUUACAUUAAUUAUCUCCACAAUCUCUUUUGCUACUUCACGAUCUUCAUUGUUACUCGACCUCAUUUUCCCUAAUUAUAAUUUAUGAGAAUAAAUAUAUUAAUUUAAUUAUUUGAAAUAAAUUUUACAACCUUAAUACUUAAAGUAAUAAUUAAGUAAUAAAUUUUAAAUCAACAACAUAAGUAUAAUUUAACUUAAAGUCAACUUAAGCGACUAAGUAAUAAGUAUUAAGUUUUACCAAACAUUCCCUUAGGUGGUGUUUGUAUUUUUUUUUUACUUAGUUAUAAAUAGAAUUUAAAACUAAAUAGCGUUUAAUAAUGUUAAGUAUUAAGUUAUUUGUUUUUAUAAUAUUUUAUUUCUAUUAAGUAUAUAAAAAUAAAGAAAAAUCAAUAUAUUAUUUUUUCUAUAAAAAAUUAAAGAUUUUGAUUAUUUUUUACUCAACAAAAAAUUUAUAAUAAGUUAUAAAAAAUAGAAAAAUAACUCUCUUAGUUUAUAUUAAUUUCUUCUUUAACUUAAAUGAUUUUAAUUUUUUUGUAGUUUUUUUAGUGACUUUUUUAAAAAAGACACAAAAAUGGACUUUUUUGUGCUUAAGCUUUUCAAAUUAAUAUAUAUUUUUAUUAUUUUGUAUUUCAUAUUAAUAUAAUUAAAAAUAAAAAAAUUGUUAAAAUAUCCAAUGUGUAUAAAAGGAAAUGAAUCAUGGGUAGAAACAAAUGGAAUCAUGCUAAAUUAUAAAUAAAUAAGAUAUUUUUGUUAUAUUGUAUUUUUUUAUUUUAUUGAUCACCAUUUUUUUAAAUGAGAUCGUGAACUACAUUUUAGUAUCAUAGAAUGGCCCAAAAAGAAUAUGACACAUGGCAUAAUAAAUAGACAAAUGCAUUACAUGUGAGGCUGGUCCCAAAGGUGAUGGGGGUUGGAGAGAAUAGGAGUUGCACGUGGCACCCAAAUACCAUAUUCCCAAAAUCAGAAAAUAAAUUCGCGAAUUGAGGGAAACCCUAGGAGAGAGAGGAGAAAGGAGAGAAUGGGGAAGAAGAAGAAGAGAGCAGCUAAGGUGUUCUGCUACUACUAUGAGAGGGAGUUCGAGGAUGAGAAGAUUCUUCUUCAGCACCAGAAGGCCAAGCACUUCAAGUGCCAUGUUUGCAACAAGAAGCUCUCCACUGCCUUUAGCAUGGCCAUCCACAUCCUCCAGGUCCACAAGGAGACCGUCUCCAAGUACUAUUGCUUGUCAUUUGCAUUUUUUUUUUAAGACAAUUUCCAUUCAUGUGUUGGAUUGUUGGAAUUUAUAUAGGUGAAUUGAAAUUAAGAUUUUUUUUUUCUCAUAAGACAUGUUGUUUCUUAAUAGACAUAACUUGUUUUAAAUGAUGUAUUUUGUAUUUAAAAGACACAUCCUCUUCCAAAUGAUUUGUUUAAUGUCUUCAGAGACAACUAUAAACCCUCUAAUUUGUUCUCUUAGCACAUGUGACACUAGGUGUCUUCUCAUACUUCUCUUUUGACUCAUAGUCAUCCCUUAGUGGCCCAUCGACAAUUAUAUAGUUUCAUUUUCUAAGCCACCUUUAGGAACUCUUUGCUAAGGGACUCAUUUAGACCCACAUUGUGACCUUGGCCACCCUUCAUCCUUAGGUUAGAUCCUACUUAGGUUCACCUAGGCCCUCUUAGAUUUACUAAAGCCCACCUUGACACACCUUGACCCAUUUUGGUCACUUUUCGGUAAUUCCUGCAUGACUUACAUAAUUUGCAUGAUUUGCAUUUUUAACGCUCGCAUAUACUUGAUUUUCUUAUUUAUUAAUUUUUCUAUUUAUUUAUUUCUAUUUAGUAUUAUUGGUGUAGGGAUUUGUUUAUCUUUCUUUAUUUAGUUACCUAUUUUCAGAAAAUUGCAUGUGGUUGGUUAUCUUGUCUCUUUUAUUAUUAUUAUUAUUAUUACUAUUAUUAAAUUUGCAUGAAUUAAUACUUUAGUUUUCUCUUUUAUUUAUAUAUAUAUAUAUAUAUAUAUAUAUAUAGAUAGAUAUUCUUUGACAUGAAAAUCACGGGUCGCAUAUUGACAUAGUGAAGGAGGUCACAACAUAUUGAAAAUUUUUGGAGGAUCAUGAGGACUUUGUUUUUUUUUGGAAAGUUACCACCUUGAGAAGAUGAAGGGAAUGAGACCGCACCAUGGGAACUUGGGUUGCACCAUGGGAAAUCAAGUUACUCUAGGAAGAGUGUAAAUGUGAAGUUGUGUUAGACUUAAGUCUUUUAUUUUUUGUCAACUCCUUGGGAAGAGUCUCAUUAGGAGUGUGCUAGUAGAGUCCCAUUCCGCUGACAAGUAGAGUCUCGUUCUGCUUAUAAGUAGAGUCCUAUUCUGAUUACAAGUAGAGUCAUGUUCUGAUUAUAAGUAGAGUCACCCCUGACUGUCAAAUAAUUUUUUUUUUAAAGAGUUCUUCUAAACCUUCCAAUGUUUUGCUUUCCUCUCCAUUCUUUCAUACAUCUAUCUGGAGGAAUUUUUUAGAACCCAAGUUGUACACGUCUUGCCUAUAAAGUGCACCCAAAGCGAGAUUCAUUGGUACCCUAGUGCACCAAGUUCGUUUUGGAGAAGGGUGGAUCUAUUUCAAAGACAAUGCUUGUUACCCCUCAACCUAUCACCGAUAAGUUUCUUGUUAUUCAUUCCACUCUUUGUUUGUGUGUUUUGGGCUAGUCCUCUGUUUUCAUACCCUUAAAACAACAAUCUUGAAAUAGAUCCAAAUGGAAGCUUCCCUAGUUCACACCUGUCCUAACACCUCUAAGAUUGAUCCCUUCAAUAUGACAUUCUUUGAGAGAUGGCAGGAAAUAGUUUUCUCUGUAAUUGAUGUAGUGAACUUGGGACACAUUUUAACUAACCUAAAACCAGAAAAUGGUUCUGAAUUGUUGCCUACUUAGGAAAUUGAUAAUAAACAAGUUAGACAUGAUAUUCUUAGUACCCUUUCUAAUGAAAUUUUUGAUGUUUAUUGUCAGUAUAAAGUUGCAAAAGAAAUUUGGGAUGCAAUGAAUAAAAAAUAUAUUUUGGAAGAUGUAAGAACUCAUAAAUAUGCAAUAGGGAAUUUAACAAAUUUCCAAAUGACCAAGGAUAUCAACGUAUCAUCUCAAAUCCAUUACUACCAUUUGUUGAUUAAUGACUUAGCUAUUAAAGAAAUUAAAUUACCUGAACCUUUUGUGGUUAGUUACUUAGUAGAGACUCUUCCAGAGUCUUGGAAAGACUGAAAAAAUAACAUGAAAUAUCAAAGGAAACAAAUGUCCCUAGAAGAUAUCAUAAUCCAUAUUAGGAUUGAGGAAGAAAAUCGAAAUAUGGACAAUGUUGAGAAAGCUAAGGAACUGUCUUCUAAGGCUAAUGUAGUAGAAGAAAAACCUAAACCCAAAAACAAUAAGUCCAGAAAGCAAAACAUUAGGACCAAGCCUAAUGUAUCAAACAAGGUUUAGAACCUAACUAUUAAAAAAUAGUGUAAUUGCUUUGUCUGUGGCAAGUCUGGACACCAUGCAACUCAAUGCCACCAUAGGAAGAGAACUGAGAAGUCUAAUUCAAAGGAAAAUCUGGCAAAGACAGAGGUGAUCACAACAAUAGCCUUCUCUGAUGUGAGCAUUAUCUUUAAUAUGAAGGAUUGAGUGGUAGACUCUAGGGCUACCAAGCACAUCUAUGGAAACAUAAGUGCAUUUGCUUCCUAUACCACUAUAAAGAAAGAAGAGGAACAAGUGUUCAUGGGCAAUUCUAGAUCUACCCUAGUGAUUGGCAAAGGAAAAGUUCUUCUCAAGCUAACCUCUGGAAAAGUGCUCGCCGCCCAUAGUGAUGUUCUUCAUGUGCCAAAUAUCCGCUGGAACUUGGUGUUAGUAUCUUUGUUUGGGAAAGCAAGAGUGAGGAUCUUGUUUGACUCCGAUAAAAUAGUUUUAACCAAGAAUGAUGCAUUUGUGGGGAAGGGCUAUUGUAAUCACAGUUUAUUUAUGUUGAAUAUUUUUAUAUUAUCAAUAAUAAUGCAUCUUCUUCUUCUGCUUACAUAGUUGAUUCGUGUGAUAUUUGGCAUGGUAGAUUAGGACAUGUGAACUUUUCAUAUACGAAGAAAAUUGUUGAAUUGAGUUUAAUCCCUAAGUUGUCCUUAGAAAAUCUUAGAAAAUGUUAAUCAUCUGUAGAAUCUAAAACCACAAAGAAAUCUUGCAAAUCAGUAGAAAGAGAAUCAGAUUUACUAAGUUUAAUACACAGUGACUUAGGAGACCUAAAAAAUACAAUGACUAGAGGUGGUAAACGAUUCUACAUAACUUUCAUAGAUGACUACUCAAGGUAUACAAGGGUAUAUCUUUUGAGAAACAAAGAUGAAGUAAGAGAUGUUUUCAUCAAGUACAAAAAUGAAGUGGAAAAUCAACUAAGUAAGAAGAUUAAAAAGCUUAGAACUGAUAAAGGAAGAGAGUAUGAGUCCAACCCCUUUAAUUAUUUUUGUGAAGAUCAUGGGAUCAUUCAUGAAACUACUACUCCUUAUUCUCCUUACUCUAAUGGAGUAGCAGAAAGAAAAAAUAGGACCUUAAAAGAAAUGAUAAACGCAAUGUUGGUAAGUUCAGGAGCACCCUUGAACUUGUGGGGGGAAGUUAUCAUUUCCUCUUGUCAUAUUCAAAAUAGAAUACCUUACAAGAGAACUGGUAAAACUCCUUAUGAGUUGUGGAAGGGUUAUGCACCUAAUAUAACAUACCUGAAAGUGUAGGGUGAUUAGCUAAAGUUCUUUUCCCUAAACCUAAUGUUCGUUGGCUAUGCUGAGAAUAGUGUGACAUAUAGGUUUCUUGUUACUAAGUCAGAAAACAGUCUUAUGGAUGUCAAUACCAUAAUAGAAACAAAGAAUGAGGAUUUCUUUGAAAACAUAUUUCCUAUGAAACUAAAUGGUGAACAACAAGUUCAGAAAACAAGUAGAGAUGAGUCUAUUGAACCUUCUAAGUUUGAACCUAGAAGGAGUAAAAGAGAUAAGAAAGAAACAAACCUUAGAGAUGGCUUUUAUGCCUUCCUAAUAGAUGAAGACCCAAGAUCCUACAAAGAAGCUAUAACUUCUCCUGAUGCACCAUUCUGGAAAGAGGUCAUUAACAGUGAAAUCGAAUCAAUCAUGUAUAACCAUAAAUGAGAGUUAGCAAAUUUACCUCCUGGUGCAAAGACUAUUUAUUGUAAGUGGAUAUUUAAAAGAAGGUUAAAAUAAGAUGAGUCUGUAGAGAAGUAUAAAGCUCGUUUAGUUUCCAAAGGCUUUAAACAAAGGAAUGAUGUAGAUUACUUUGACAUAUUUUCCCUUGUGACUAGAAUAGCGUCAAUUAGAGUAUUGAUCGCUCUAUCUUCCAUUCAUAACCUGGUGAUACACCAAAUGGACGUCAAAAUUGCAUUCUUGAAUGGGGAUUUGGAAGAGCAAAUUUAUAUGGAACAACUUGAGGGUUGUGUAGUUCUAGGGAAGAAGAAAAAUGUGUGUAGGUUGGUUAAAUCACUAUAUAGGUUAAAACAAGUUCCCAAACAAUGGCACAUCAAGUUUGAUCAUGUGUUAGUAACUAAUAGAUAUUCCAUUCAUGAUGUUGAUAAAUGUAUCUACAACAAGUAUGAGGAUAACACAUGUGUAGUCAUUUGCCUUUAUGUUGAUGACAUGCUGAUUUUUGGAACUAGCCUAGAGGUUGUGUGUAAGACCAAAAAAUUCCUAGGUUCUGAGUUUGAUAUGAAAGACCUAGGAAAGGUAGAGGUGAUUCUAGGAAUUAAAAUAACUAGAACACAUAAUGGGCUUAAGCUUUCUCAAGAGCACUAUGCUGAGAAGAUCCUAAAGAAGUUUGAACACUUUGAUUGUAAACCAGUGUCAACUCCUUAUGAUCUCAGCUCACAACUGAAGAAAAAUAAAGAACAAAAUGUUGCCCAAAUCGAGUAUGCUCAAAUCAUAGGAACCCUAAUGUACUUAAUGAACUAUACCAUACUUGACAUUGCUUAUGUAGUAGGUAGAUUAAGUCGGUACACCUAAAGUCCUAAUCAGGACCAUUGGACCAUUGUUCGUAGAGUCCUUAAGUAUUUGAGAGGCACCAUUAACUAUGGUUUGUGCUAUAGUGGAUAUCCAAGUGUCCUUGAAGGAUUUAGUGAUGUAAAUUGGAUCUUAGAGUCAGAUGAGAUGAAAUCCACUAGUGGAUAUGUUUUCAUCCUUGGUAGAAGUGUAGUUUCUUGAAAGUUUGCCAAGCAAACUUGCAUUACUCAGUCUACUAUGGAAGCUAAGUUUAUUACCUUAGAAAAGACAAGUUCUGAGGUUGAGUGGCUUAGAAACCUCUUAGUAGAUCCCGUCUGUGUCUAUGCGUUGUGAUAGCCAAGUUGUAAUUGCUAAGGCUAAGAGUAAAAUAUUUAAUGGAAAGAACAAACAUAUAUGCCUAAGGCACAAUAUUGUGCGACUGCUGCUUGAAAUAGGGGUUAUAUCUCUAGAAUUUGUGAGGUCAAAGUUGAAUUUGCUCGAUCCUUUGACCAAACCACUAAAUAAGAAACUAAUGGAAGAAACAUCGAGGGGGAUGGGGCUUAUGCCUAUUACAAAAGUCAACAGUGGUGGUAACCUAACCUAUUAGAAUGGAAAAUUCUAUGAAGUUGGUUCAUAUGGGUAAUAACAAAUCGCUUGUCAACUUGAGGUGCUCUAUCAACUUUAAUUGUAUGAGAGUCUAUCCCUAUGGUGUGGAUAGAGCAUAUUCUGCAUUGACUAAGGUUGAGUGUUUACUCUUAAUGAAUGCCACAUUCCUUAUGAAUGGUAUGUUUAAAUGCAUAAUAUACUUGAUGGAUUCAACUAUAUGAGAGUAGAGAUGAGACCACUUCCUAUAAAAACUUAAGCAGGUUCUCUAGAGCUCUCAUAAAUAUCCAGGCAGAGUACAUGGCCUAUUUGUGUCAACCCGUUAUGUACAACUCAUAAUGUAAUUAAGAAAACCAAUGUGGAUAAAGGUCUCUUAAGUUACAUCAAGAAACACUGGUUCAUAGAAAUUCAUUUUUCACCGUAUUUUGUGAUUCAAUACUUAUUUGUCCUAAGAUUGGUUCAUAGCCUUUGGGUACCAAUACUGAUGCAUUUGAUUUUUUUUUCUCCAUUUUUUCCUUCCUUCACAUCUACUCUCUAUGAGGGAUUGCAGAAAGAGUGUAAAUGUGAAGUUGUGUUUGACUUAGUCUUUUAUUUUUUAAUGACUCUUUGGGAAGAUUCCCAUUAGGAGUGUGCUAGUAGAGUCUCGUUCCGCUUACAUGUAGAGUCUUGUUCUGUUUAAACUAGAGUCAUGUUCUAAUUACAAGUAGAGUCAUAUUUUUAUUACAAGUAGAGUCCUGUUGGGACUGUGUUAGUGGCCUAUAAAAGCAGGUCACUCCUCACUCUCAAAUAUAUUUUUUUUUUCAGAGAGUUCUUCUAAAUCUUCCAACAUUUGGCUUUCCUCUCCACUCUUUCAUACAUCUAUCUGGAGGAAUUUUUUAGAACACGAAUUGUACACAUCUCGCCUGUAGAGUGCACCCAAGGUGAGAUUCACUGGUUGAUGAAUCCUAGAGGUAGAUCACUGGUACCCUAGUGCACCAAGUUUAUCUUCAAGGAAGGUGAAUCGAUUUCAAGAACACUGUUUGUCACACCUCAACCGAUCAUCGAUAAGUUUCGUGUUAUUCAUUCUAUUCUUUGUUUGUGUGUUUUGGGCUAUUCAUUUGUUUUCAUACCCUUAAAACAAUAGUUACUUCAUGGGAAAGAGAACAUUGGAAGAUAAGAAGAUUUUUGGAGGAAUAUGACAAUUGUAUUCUCUAGGGAGCCACAACAUCAAUAUGAGAAGAGUAAGUCUUCAUUGAAAAAAAAAAAAAGACAAAUUUAAGGAAAAUGAUCAACAGGGACUGCAAAUUUGAUUUUGAGGGUCUCCUUACAAUAGACCGAACCAUCUAACAACCCUUUUCUUCAUAAGAGGACAUCACUUUAUGACCAUACUAAAUCCAACAUUGCCAUUUGGACCGUAAGGAUGCUUGCUUGCUAUUUGCACCAGAGAAGGAUGAAUGAAGUUGUAUCGUGCACCAUUUUGUGAGUUGCAAACCACAUUCUGGUAAGUUAAGAGGAAAUAAUCCACAUCAAAUUUUGGAAGCCAUGACAUCUGGGAGGUUAUUGAUACUUGAGAGGAAAAUUUUCAACUUUUUGACUUCUUUGAUCAUUUAAUCCAACUGAAAGUAAAAAAAAUCAAGGAUCAUUGACGAAUGAGGUUGUGAUAUGGUGCCUAAUUUCUAGUACAAUAGCCUUAAUUUUGAGUUAUAUAUCAUAUUCGAUCAUCAAAGGCAGGAGUAAUAGAUGACGGGGGUUCAGAUUCUUCCAUCCAUAUACCAAUGAUGGCGUUGAUGGUGAGAGGGUCUUGUGGCACACCGUCAAAGCCAUCCAAAAAGAUUGCCUCAUCUACACCGAUGACCAUGAUGCUUCUUCUAAUAGCUUGAUGGCUCGUGUCGUUCGACAUUUUGGUGGAGUUUUCAAGGUGAGGGUUGAGAAGCAGGUUUGAGCGUGUUGAGAAAGAGAUUCAAAGCCUUGGGAGGAUUUUUUAGAAAAGAGAUCGCACACAAAGGGUUGUCCACUUUCCAUUUGAGAGAACGAUAAUCAGAAUUUUUAAGGAACAACAAUCAGAAUUUCUAGAGUGGUGGAUGUUAAGAAUUUUUUUUUUUUUUUUUUAUGGGAUAACGAUCAGAAUUUUUCCGAGAACAACAAUCAGAAUUUUUGGAGAGGAAGAUGCAACAAAGAAACCAUCAUCUUAAUGCGCACCACCAGAAUUGUAGAACCAACUCACCAUCGAUAACUGUUCUCCAUCUUCAUGCACAGGUUGAUCAUUCGACCAAUGGGACGCACUCUCUACGGGGAAAACCAAUAGAACCAGACAUCAUCUUCACAUGAAAGAAGGUUUCCACAUUGAGGGGCUGCCACUUUGAAACCAUUGUCGGCAUCUCUCCAUCACAAAGGAGCUUCGGCAUGCAUCGCUUCACAGGAACACCCAUAGGUGAGUUUUUUUUAUUUUUUUUGGGAAACUUUGGUAUUUGAAUCCAUGAGUGCUAUACAUGUAGUGGAAGAUUGAGGAUUUUUUUUUUUUUUUAAAUAUAAUAUAGAGUCAUGAGUGUUUGAACGCUAGUGGCUUGGCUUUUUUUAGGGAAAAAAAAUUGAUGUAUAUACACGUGGUCCGCCAUGUGAUGUUUCAAGUAUGUUAAUAGUUUGUUUCAUUGAAUUAAAAAUUAAAGUGAAUGUGGUGGGUCAUGUUGUUAUUGGUUUACAUUGUUAUAAAUUUACAAUGAAACAAAUGAAAACUAAUAUCCAUAAAAAUUCAUUCAUUUAUUUAUUUAUUUAUUCAUUUUCAUAAAGUUAUUUGUUGCAAAUUUUGAAUAUCCAUGUUAGUUUAUACUUUUCAUAAAACCAUUUGUUGUUAAUUUUAAAUAUAUAUAUUAAUUUAUAUUGCUCCUUGAACUUUUAGUUUGUAGUUUUGGUUGAUCCAUGUUAAUUUUUGUUAUCCUUAAAAUUAUCAAUUGUUAUUUUGGUUGAUCCAUGUUAAUUUUUUGUGGUCCUUUGAAUUUUUAGUUUUUAAUUUGAUGGUCUGUGUUAAUUUUUAUAUACCUUUGAGCUUUUAAUUGUUGAUUUUAAUAAACUAUGUUAGUAUAUAUUCCUUCUUGAAUUUUUAGUUUUUGGUUUUGGUUGAUCCAUGUUGAUUUAUAUUGCUCUUUGAAUUAUUAAUUAAUAUUUUGGUUGAUCCAUGUUGUUUAAUAGUUUUCUUUAAAUAUGAGGGUUUUAGUUUUUAUUUACCUCUUAUUAGUUUGUGAUUUAAAUAUCCUUAGAUGUUAGUUUUUAUUAUUUUCCAAUUAUUCAUUCUUAUUGAACCUAAAUUAGUUCAUGUUUUUAUUAUCUCUAGCAUUAGUUUGGUUGUUCCUCAUUAAUUUAGGUUUUUAAUAUCCCUAGUUGUUGACUUUUGUUAAUAUUUCAUGUUAGUAUAUGUUCUUAAUAAUUUUAGGCUUAGUUUCCUUGACCCUUGAUGAUAUUAAUUCAUGCUAGUUUAAAAUUGUUAUUAUCAUUGUUAUUAUUAUUAUUAUUUGUUAACCCAUAUAGAUUUUUUUGUUGUCCUUUGACCUUUUAAUCUUAGGUAUUGAUUAUCCAUGUCAUUUGAGUAUUAUUAGAUCAUUUUCAUGCUAUGAGAGUUCUCAUCUUUAAAAUUUUGGUAAUUCUAAGGUGUUAAAUCUUCUUAGUAUUAUUCAUGAUAAUUUUAUGUUAAAUAAUUUUUCUUGAAUGACAGUAAAUUAGUUUCAGAUUUUUCAUUAUUUGUUUAAUAUUAGUUAGUUUCAUGUUAUUUAGAUUAUUUUCAUGCCAUUAAAAGUAUUAUCCCUUAUAGUUUAUUAAUUCUUAGGUUUUAAUCUUCUUGUUUUAGCUUCAUAUCAUUAUAUUAUUUCCCAUGCUAUUAAAAGUUUUGUAAUGCAAGUUCGAUAAUUUUAAUAUUUGAUCUUCAUGUUUUUAGUUUCAUGUCAUUCAAUAAUUUUUCAUGAUAUUGAAAGUUCUUCUUUGGAAAUUUAGUAGUUCUUAAGUUUUAGAUCUUCUUGUUAUUAUUCAUGUAUUUUGAUCCUGUUAUCAUAUUAAAAGUUGUCUUUUUUGGAAACUCGGUAGUCUUAGGAUUUAGAUCCUAAAUCCUCCAAUUAUUAUUCAUGCAAUUUGUUUGUGUUAUGAACUAAAAAAUUUAUCUUGAAAGGUUUAGAAGUUCUUAGGACUUAGCCUCAUUCUUAUUUUAGAUUCAUGUUAUUUUUUUAUAUUCAUGCUAUUUAGAAAUAUGGUUGCUCAUCUUUUAAAGCUCGUUUUUCUUCUAAGACGUAGUUUCUUGUUACCACUCAUGGGGUUUAAUUAUUUAUUUAUUUUGAAAGCAUAUUGGCUAGUUUGGGAUUCAGAUCUCCUUAUUAAAAUUCAUGUUUGAUCUUUUAUAUUUGAAAGCAUGUUAUUUGUUUGCAAUUCAGCUAAAAUUCAUGAUAUUAGUUGUUUAUUUUUCAAAGAUUGAUUUUUAGAAAGAGAUUUUUAGAAAUUGACAUUUUGAAUUAAGUCAAAAUCUCUUCUUUUCUUUCAAAAAAUGAAUUUUUCUCCAUAAAUGAUGUGGCUCCUUGAUCCCAAAUGAAAGGUAGCCAAUAAGGCGAUCCAUGUUGAUAAUUCUUUUGUUUUCAAAUCCCUUUUAAAUUAGAAAUAAAAUAAAAUAAAAUAAAAUAAAAUAACUCCAUUUUGUGUCCAAUGUUUUGGAUUUAUCAAAUCACAUGGUUUGAUCUUUUGCUUUCCUAAAAUCAUUCUCAAAGGAAUUUAAAUAUUAAAAAAAAAAAUCCAUUCCCGGUUUUUAAGGCCAAUAUCUCACUUUGUUUUAAAGAAAAAAAAAUAUAUAUGUAACUUAGUUUUAUCCAAAUUGCAUUCCUUUUUCUUAGUUUUCUAAAACUUUAUUUUCUUAACAUAGAUUUGAACUUGUGUUCCCAAGCUAAUAGGAAUACACAGGUGAAUCUUAUGAAUAUUAAUUGGGGAUUUGAUGGGACCCCAACAUAAAAGAAUCUUUUCAAAACUUAUUUUUGUUGCCACUUUUGCUACUUGUUAUAAUCAUAACCAUCAAUUUUUUAGGAAAAUUAUGCAAGAUGUAUGUGAUAAUUGAUGACUUUGAAUACUCUGAUAAUUUUUGCUACGCUAUUUAGAUACCAAGCAUGCUAGGAUUUCUUUUUUUUAUUAUUUAUUACUAUAAUUUUGAUCUAACCUUCCAUGUCUUGUGAAAACACACUAUAAGUUAUCUAUGUUAUUUAGGUACUCAUCUUACCUUCACAUUUUAAUUUCAUAAAUUGUGUAUUACUUUAUAUAUGAUCAUUACCUAUUGCUUCGUAUGUGAUUGUCAUGUUUAGCAUAUCUUUUUUUAUUGUUUGUUUGACUUGUCAUGUUUGAUUAAGAGACUAAGGUAAAACGCAUGAUAUGUGUUUUAUUUUCUAAACCGACCAUUGAUGUCAUGUGAUAGUGCUUAAGUUGCAGUUCAGGUAUGCAAUACAAUCAUUUCUUUAUGAUUGUGUUUUGAAUUCUUGUUUGGCUUGCUAGUGUUGAAAGAUUUUAAAAAUCACCUUAGUCCGUCUAAGUAUCCAUAAUCAACUAACUAAUUGUCAUAUUUCCAUCAACUUAGCUAGUAGAGAGACCUCUCUAUGGAUUAGAAGGGUGCUACCUCUUUGGAGGUAUUUUCUUGAUAGGUAACUUGAUCCCCGGAUCCAAACUCGAGUUUUUCGUAGACAGCUUUUCCAAAAGCUAGGAAUCAUUUUUAAGGGUUUUGUUCUUACUUGAUUUCCCCUUUUUAAAAUAAAUAAAUAAAAGUAAGUGGUAACUCCAGUUUUUUUUUUCUCUCGUAAAAUACAAUUUUUCCUUAAACAAAAGUGAGUCUUAUCAAUUGAGUGGGGAUGUAUUGUGAAAAAUGUGGGUCCACAACAACCCUUCAAAUGAUGUGUCUAGUAUUUUAAAGACAUCUCUUCUAAAGGUCACCUUCAAAUCUAUAAACAAACAUCUCUUCUGAAUUAAUAUUCAUCCAUUCUCUCCAUUCUUUCUCCUUUAUUGUCAUUCAAGUCUCCUUAGCUUCAAGUCUAGUCAUUUCUCUUCUUUUUUUUACCAAAUAUUUGGUGUACAAGUGAGUACAAAUCACCAAGUGAUUCACCAUUUUUUUUAGUGAUUUGAAGUGUUACUAUCACAAAAAAGUGAUCAUUGUAACCUAGGAGACAAUUGUCAAUAAACCAUAAGCACCUGAAUGGGGCAAAUUCAUCUUAAGGACAUAAAGUCAACUUUAGCCUUGAUCAACCUUAUUUGUGACUUUCAGUUUUCUACAUAUUUUAUUUUAUUUGUAUAUUUACUAUACACACUUAUUAUCCCUAUAUUUUCAGUGAUCUGGACUACAACUUUUAGUAGUAAAUCGAGAUUUCUUCUCCAAACAGGAUUUUAGGAGAAGAAAUUAUGUUUAUGGAAAAGUUUUUACUAUAGAAAAUUAAAUUUAAUGUAGUAGAUCUUGACUUAUCGUGUUUGAAAGCUAUGAUUAUUGAUUAAAAAAAAUUAAUGUUAUUUUUCUUUUAAUUACAAGUAUUUUUUAUAUAUAAAGUUAAUAUUUAAGUAUAAAACCUUUUAGAAAUGUCAACUCAACUCUAUUUAUGGAAUAAUUUUAAAUUUUCCUUUUAGCAAAAGUUGAAAUAAACGUAAAAUAACUACUUUUAUUAUAAGUUGAUUUUAUGUUUGGAAUAGAAUGCUUUUAUUCAAAAUAAAGAAUAAUUAAGAUAUUUUUAAAUUUUAGUUAAAUAAAACUUGUUGAAUACACCAAUAUUUUCUCUCGUUACACCCAUCUUAUUUUUAAUUUUUUUUUUAGUAAAAAUGUGAAUGUCUUUUUCUUCAUCAUCCUUUUGACACUCAUGUCUCAAAUCUUAAUUAGCUUUCUUAUUCACUUUUCUUCCCCUUUCCUUUAUUUUAUUUCAAUUUUCCUUUAACUAAAAUAGAAAAACAACUAGAAAAAUAAUAGUUGGUGUGCAACCAUGACUAUUGUCGGUAUAGAUAGAAAAGAAUUGGUGGAUUAAAUAACCACUAAAUUAAUCAUCAAAACUUUAACUUUAACUUUUUAACUCAAUAAAAUUUAGACUUGACAAACAAUGAGUCAUACACAUUGAACGAAUGUUAUGCAAUUCACAAAGCGAUAUAUGACCAAAUUUGAAAGGCUACAAAAUCAAAUCUUGUAAAAUAAAAAUAAAAUAAAAUUUUUAAAGUAAAAAAGAGAAUUAGAAAAAUAUAUUCUCUUGCUAGUAAAUUUCUGAAAUGAAAGAAACAAAUUGCUUAAUUAAAUCAAAAGCGAAUUGUAAAGAAAUAUUCUCUUGUUGAUAAAUUUUUUAAAUGAGGGUACACAAAUUGCUAAAUCAAUCAAUCAAUCAAUCAAAUUCCUUAAAUUGAGUAACCAACUACUGGGGAUUCCAAAUUUAAUUUCUUAACUUCACCUAUAAAUAAAAAUCACCUUCUUCAAUAUAGGAGAUUAAAAAAAUAAAUAAAUAAAUAAAUUUCAGAAGAAGCCAGAGAAAAAAGGAUUCUCAAGGAGAAAAAUGUUUCACAAUAUACCCCCUACAAGUCCAAGAAAAGCACAUGAAAAACUAUGUACAUACUUUUCACCAUUCUCAAAGUUCAAUAGUCAUUUAGAAAACAAGAUAUGCAAGACUCUCAAUUGAACUUUAAUUUCAAAGAAAUACUUACAUCGUCAUUCAUUAGAUUGUGAUUAAAACAAUCAAAUCAGAGGAAAAUUUUCUUUACAAAGAAUAUUAUAAUAGAAAAUUGUACCUCAUAAAUUUUUCUAAUUAGGAAAAUUUAGGUAGGUGUAUUUAACAACUCUUUAAAAAAAUAAAUUUUAUCCCUAAAAAAUUAAUAUACAUUUAUAGGAGCACUAAGUGACAAAAUUCGAAACUAAUGGAGAUUUAAUGCAAUGUUAUGAAGAUUAGACCGAACGAGGACCGGAUUGGUCUGGUUCACCACAUCAAGCCACAAAUGAGUUGAAUCGGCAUUAAAUCGGUCCAACCACUAGGUGAGUUAGCUCAACCAAUUCAAGAGCUACACUUUAUUCCCUUUUUUUCUUUUCCAAAACUCACCUAACCGUCCAACACAUAUAAGUCCAUAGUCAAUUUGCAUGAAUGACAAGUUUAUAUAGCCUACUUUUGCUUCAUGCUUUUUCGAUGUAGAAUCAAGUGAAUUUUUGUUUUUGGAGACUAAAUGUCAUGACCAUGGGAUUUGAACAAAACAUGGAACACCCAAGUUAUCCUUACAUGUUUGCAAAGAAAAACAUUCGAAAGCUAUAUAUACAUUAUUGAAAAUUUUAAAAUGAAUAUAAAUAUUUAUGAUUUAUCUAUAAUAAAUAUGGGAAUAAUAUAAAUAAAAAACUAAUAAUUUGAAGAUAAUAAAAUGUAUAGCUAUUGAAAUCCAAACAAAUUAAAAUAAUAAAAUCCUUUUAUCUUAAUAAAUUAAAGUUACUUAUUUAAUAAAAAAAAAACUAAUAAUUUAAUAAAUCAUUAAGUUAUCGUUAUCAUAUUUUGAGCUAUCAAUAUUAUCAAUAAUAAAAUGAUGAAAUGUGUUUAAAAUUUAAUUACUUAUACAUUUUCUUAUUUCAUAUAAUUGUUUUUAAUUUUAUUAAUAAUGCAAUUUAUAUAUUUAUGACAUCAUUGGUUUAAUAAUUUCAACCAUCGAUCUAAUCGAUGAAUUAUGAAUUCGAUAACUUUUAUAAUUUAAUGAUCAAUCCAAUUUUGAAAACAUUAUUUUAAUGUAUGUACACUAAACCUUAGGGAAUUUGAUUGAAAUUAACUCAUACAAACAAUUUUGUUUGUAUAUAUUUCUAGUUCUUUUACUUAUUUUUAUGGGAGAAUUAUCUUUUGGGGGUAGAUGGGCCCCCAAAUUAACAAAAGGUCCAUGUAACUCUUCAAAUUGAGUUGAAGGAUAUGAAAUAGUAACGGACAAAUAUACCCUUUAAGAACACAUAUAAAAUAUUUUAUAAAAUUAAGUUAAAUAAUUCUUUUUCAAUAAUUUUUUUUUUCAAAAAUACUAAAUUAAAUAAAAGUAGUUUUCAAAAAUAUUAAAUUAAUUUUUUUUUUCAAAAAUAUUAAAUAAAAUAAAUUUAUUUUUAAAAAAUAUUAAAUAAAAUAAAUUUAUUUUUAAAAAAUAUUAAAUUAAAUAAAAGUAUUUUAAAAAAUAUUAAAUUAAAUAAAAGUAUUUUAAAAAAUAUUAAAUUACAUAAAAGUAUUUUUUAAAAAUAUUAAAUUAAAUAAAAAAUAUUAAAUUAAAUAAAAGUAUUUUUCAAAAAUAUUAAUUUUUUUUCUCAAAAUCAACAAAUGAUAUUUUUUGAAAUACUGAAGGAUGAUAUCCUUCAACUCAAUUUCCAUACUUUCAUUGGGUCUUGGGCUCAAUUUAAAGAGUUAUAUGGACCUUUUGUUAAUUUAGGGGCCCAUCUACCCCCAAAACAUAAUUCUCCCAAUUUUUAUAGGACUUUCGAAAUUUGCACAUGUAAUUGCCAUUGAUAGCAUUUGGAUAUGCAUUCUAAUCUAUUGUUCAUGCAUGACUAAGCAAAUAACCUUCGCCACUGUAAACAACCAUGAUGUGAGUACCAACAAAGCCAAGUCACUCACCCUCUUCAUAUGGUUUUUAUUUUUUAUUUUAUUUUUUGUUAAUGUUUGGAUAUGGGAAUAAAGAAAAAAAGACAAGGCAUGCAAGCAAGGGAAAGGAAAAGUAAUGGGAGGGAUAUAAGAUUCAUAAUAAUGAUAAGGGCUUAGGUAUGGUACAAAUAACACCUUUUUAGUACCAAUUAGUGGGUGUCACAUGUGCACUGGUUCAUUGCUUUGUUCUUAGCAUCUCAUUAUUUUGUUUUGUAUCCUCCCAAGUUGGAUCAAACUAUGCAUCACUUUCCUCCUCAAGAUAAAAAAACCAAAAGAUAAAAAAGAAUAGGCCGGUUAGGUAAACCUUUCUUCAACAAUCAAGUUAUCCAUGAGGUUAAGUGAAAAAGACAUAAAAGAUGAAAUUGUUUUUGUUCCUUAUUUUGGAAGUGAGAAUUCCUUUUAUAGAUUUAUUUUGGUGUAUUAAUCAUGAAAAGUUAAUAAAUGGAAACAUCAAUUCUAUAUUGUUCCUUAAAUGAUUUCCAUUACGAGUAUCAUAAAGGCUCUAAUCAUUAUGCAAUAAUUAUGGAAUGACAUUUAAGGUUUUGGCCAUUAUGUGAUUAAUCUGUGAAUUGUUGUCAUUACAUAAUUAAUGUAUAGGUUAUCCUUUACACAAGGUCAUAAUUUGCAAUAGUGAUCAUAUUUUAUGAGUGGUAGUCAUUCCUGAAUGUGAUCAAUGCUUUUUGUGACGUGAUGAUGAUAAUGAUCUAUUUUUACGGUGAGGUGGGUCUCAUGGGGACUCUUGACAAGCAUUAUAUGGAGGUAGCACAUUGCUUUUUUGACUUUGCUACAUGACGAAGGAUUUUCAUAUCCCUACACUUCCUAUUUUACAUGUGAACUAAUUAUUUUAUAUUUUAGUUCCAUUAUUUUGUAGUUUAGUCUUAUUACAGGCAUUACAUUUUAAUCUCAUUGAUCUAUAUAAUGGUUCCAUGUGUUUAUAACAUGGGUCUUUAUACUUUCAUUUAGUGACUCAGAUUUUAUUAUAUACUUAAAUGAUUAGGAUUAAAAUUUCAAUAUCAUAUCAAAUAUAAACCCAAUAUAUUUCUUUUUUUAUAAUAAUAAAUUUAUUGAAGAAAGGUAUGAUUGAAUAUUAGAGAUUGUGGCUUUCAAGUUAACACUAAAAAAACUACGCACAUAGAUGAUUUUAGUGUUAAAAAACUUGAGGAGAAUUAUUUCCAAUUGGUGACAUGUGUUAGGUAUAAAGUUGCCUUUAAUAAGAUUGAUAACUACAUUACUAAAAUAUAAAACCUUAUUGGUAAUAAUAGUAAAGGAUUGAUUAUGACACUAACUACUACUUUUUUGGUAUCAUAUCAAAAAGUUAUCAUCAACUAAGGGUAUCAAAUGUAUGCAUGUUGAUCCUAUUACUUUGUACUUGAUAUCUAAUUAGUUAUACUUUAUAUACAUAAUGAUCGUAUUGGUUUGUAUCUUGGUUCAUUACUUUUCAACAUAUGAUACCUAGAUUUCAUUAUUUUAUACUAAACAUUUCAUUGUAUUAUACCAUAUAUGUGAUCUCAUUGAUCCAUACCUUUAUUCCAUUAUUUUGUACCAUGUGAUAGCUCGGAUCCUUGCUUUUGCUAUAUAUUACAUGUGACUUUGGUUCCAUUAUUUUGUAUUCGAGUGUUUUAUUAUUUUAUAAUUUAUAUAUAAUUUUAUUGUUUUCUACCUUAAUUUCACUAUUAUUAACCAUAAAUAACAAUUUCAAUAAAAAAAAGUUUUCUAUGAUAUGGGAUGUAUAUUAUAUAUUAAAUUUAUCAUUUAUGGGAGAUAAUUGCCCCCCAUCUAACGCUCAAAAAAUUAUGCAUAUGAAAGAUUUUAGUGUCGGAAAAGUAGAGAUUUUUUUCUAGAAUUGGGUCAAAAAGGUAUAUGUGUGACAUUUAAAUUUGUCUGCUUAUAUGAUUGAGAUAAGAACAUUUGGAAUUAGAGAAUUAGUCGAUGUUCAAUUAAUAAUGCAGCAGUGAUGAAAUUCAGUGGAAUUAAUUUAGAUACUAUUGAAUGGACGUCUCACAAAGUGGACUAAAUUUUAUCAAUUUGAUUGAUUUGAAAAAUUCAUAUGUUUAAAAUCAUUCAACAUUCUGAGAAUAAUUCCUUUUUCAAUUAAAAAUUGUCUGCUCCACACGAAAAGACAAACUUGGUUUUGGUCUCUUUCCAAAGUAGAAAUAAUUCCAUAAAUAUUGAAUUAUAUUGUUUACUAAAGAGAAUUGAAGAGAUCAAAGAAUGCCAACCAAAAACAAAAAAACAAAAAAAGACAAAUAUUUGCACGGAAAAGUCCAUGCAAUAGUACUCACGCCCACAGCCUAAGACUUCAACAUCAGAGAUAUGAAUAUUCUAUAUUCUAUGUCGGCCAUGACAUCACCUCCAUUCUUCUUCUCCAAGCUAAAACCACAUAGUGAAGAUCUAUAUAUAUAUCUGAAUCAUCCGGUGUUUAAUUCCACUGAAAAUAAGAAAAUUUCUUAGAAUUUUCUCUGUGAGCCGUAGUAUUAGCUAGUGAUGGUGAAGAAAAUAGAGCUUAUUUUUGUCUCUGUCUCAGCUAUAGGACAUCUUGUAUCAGCUGUGGAGUUUGCUAAGCUUCUUGUUGGUAGAGAUGACCGCUUCUCAGUCACUCUACUCAUCAUGAAGCUACCUCUUGAGGACUCUGCGGUAACCAACUAUAUCCAUUCAGUUUCUGCUUCCGUUUCCGGGUCCAUUCGAUUUGUCCACCUUCCUGAACUCGACUCAGAUUCAUCCAAUUCCCACCCAUCAUCGUCAUCCCCUAAUAUCUUCUAUAAUAUCAUUGCAAGGCAGAAGCCUCUAGUGAGGGAUGCAGUCCACCAGCUCACUCGGUUUGAGUCGGGUCGACUCGUUGGGAUUGUGGUCGAUAUGCUUUGUACUGUUAGAUUAAUUUUUGUAAUUAAUCUAUAAUUUGGGCCACACAUGUAAAUAAUUAAAAUGUGUGUGCUAUCAUUUAAUUAAUUAAGCCUAAAUAUAGUGAUCUAAUUAAUAAUUGAUUAAUUGGCUUAAGGGUAUAAUUGUCAUGAGAUUAUUGUGUAGAUACCAUUAGAUAAUUAUUAUUUCUAUGAGGGGCAGAAAUAUAAUUGUGAUAAAAUUAAAACUGCCCUAGCGGUUUAUAAAUAGGGUUAUGGUCCCCAUUCUACGACUACGCAUUCCAAUUUCUGAAAAUCCUCUCAGUGAGAAAUUGACACAAAAUCUAGUGGCUAGAAUUGGAAGACCAUCUCAAAGGGUUUUCUUCCUAUAAGGUUUCUCCUUCAAUGGAUUCAGGUAUGCUUCCGCUAUUAUUUUUUCUACUCAUUGUUUUUAAUCAGGAGAUUCCAGUAUAUAUGAAAUUAGGGUAUUCACCUUGUUAAAUAUUCCAGUAUAUAUGAAAUUAGGGUAUUCAUCUUGAUUCAUUUUAACAUGUACUUCCAUGAUAGAUGUAGCUAAUAAAUUGGGUGUUCCUUCCUAUGUGUACUUCGCCUCCAGUGCGGCCUGCCUUGCUCUCAUGUUUCAUCUUCAAACCCUCAAGGACCGCCAGGGCGUGGAUGUUACUGAGUUUGCUAACUCGGAUGCUAAGUUGGUGGUCCCGGGUUUUGUCAACUCGGUUCCUGCUCGAGUCUUGCCUGCUACGGCGGUGGACAAGGAGGGUGGCGGAUCCAUGGAUUUCCUCGAUCGGGUAAGGAGCUUUAGAGAUGCCAAGGGUAUUUUGGUAAAUACAUUUAUGGAGCUAGAAUCUCAUGUGAUUAACUCCUUUGUCGAUGGUACAACUCCUCCCAUUUACACAGUAGGGCCAUUAUUGAACUUACAACAUGCCAACAAACAAAAACAAGAUAGUGACUUGGAUGUCAUCCAAUGGCUUGAUGAUCAACCCACAUCAUCUGUGGUGUUUUUAUGUUUUGGCAGCGCUGGAGCAUUCCACAUGGAUCAAAUCAAGGAGAUUGCAAUUGGGCUUCAGAAUAGUGGGCAUCGUUUCUUGUGGACACUCCGACAACCUCCACCAAAAGGUAAGAUGGCAAUACCUAGUGAUUAUGUGAAUUUCGAGGAAGUAUUACCUGAAAGGUUCUUAGAUCGUACAUCUAAAAUUGGAAAGAUAAUUGGAUGGGCACCACAAGCAGCUGUUUUAGCUCACUCUGCAGUAGGAGGGUUUAUAUCUCAUUGUGGGUGGAAUUCUAUAUUAGAAAGCAUAUGGUAUGGUGUCCCAGUAGCUACAUGACCUAUGUAUGCAGAACAAUAAUUGAAUGCGUUUCAAAUAGUAAGAGAGUUAGAAAUGGGGGUAGAGAUUAGAUUUGAUUAUAACAUGAAUACUAGUAAUCUUGUAAGUGCUCAAGAAAUUAAGAGUAGAAUAAGGAGUUUAAUGGAUGAUAGCAACAACAUUAGAAUGAAAAGGGCAAAAAUGAAAGAAAAGUGCAUGAAGGCCUUGACAAAAGGUGGAUCUUCGGACUCUAGCAUACAACGUCUAAUUGGAGACAUGAUAACUAAUAUCUCAUGAAGUGAAUGCUAAAGCAAUGUAUUAUAAAAAAAAAGGUUCUAAGUCCUUAAAAAUGUUUGUUUCAAUUGCUUUUAAUAAUGUAAUGGUUGAGUGUCAUAGAAAAGUUGAUUAAAAAAUUAAGUUGAAAAAAAUGUAUUGUCUACUUAUUUUAAAUAAAAAUAAAAGUAGCAUAUGUUACAUCUUGUGUGACAUCUUUAUUUUAAUAUUAGAUGAUGUAUCAAAUCCAAAUUGUAUGGGAAUAUAAAUAGAUUUUAGGCUUUCUCAUCUUAUAUGUCUUGUCCUUGUAAACCCCCAUACGAAAUGAUCACGUCCCAUUGCCAUUUUCAUUCAAUUUGGUGUUUAAUUUUGUUAUUAUUAAUCGUAAGAGGUUAGUUUUACCCAUCUUCCUCACAUUUGAUUACAAAUAUUUGAAUUUUCAAUACCUAACCUUUUCCCAUGUCAUUUGGGAGUGGUUAUUAAAGGAUUAAAGUAACUUUGUCAAAGUAGUGGUUGUGAAAUGACAAAAUUUUGGUUUUAGUAAUAUAAUUUUGUAGAUUUAGAGGGUAUUUGGUAAAUUAACUUAAUAACUUAAAGUAACUUGAUAACUUAAUUUAAGUUAUUAAUUAAAUUAAGUAUGUUUUGUAAAAUAAUUUAAUGAUAUGGCUUAAAGUAAAAAACAACUUUAAGUAAUAAGCAAAAUAAUUAAAUUAUUUUUAAGUUUAUAUCCUCAUUUGACAUUUUUAUCCCCAUUUACCCUAAUUAUCUCCACAAUCUCUUUUACUAUUUCACGAUCUUCAUUGUUACUCGACUUCCAUUUCCCUAAUUAUAAUUUCUAAGAAUAAAUAUGUUAAUUUAAUUAUUUGAAAUAAAUUUUAAAUUAAUUUUAUCAAACAAUCUUAAUAAUUAAAGUAAGAAUUAAGUAAUAAGUUUUAAAUCAACAACUUAAAUAUAAUUUAACUUAAAAUCAACUUAAAUUAUUAAGUAAUAAGUAUUAAGUUUUACCAAACAUUCCCUUAGGUGGUGUUUGUAUUUUUUUUUUUACUUAAUUAUAAAUAGAAUUAAAAAACUAAAUAGCGUUUAAUAGUAUUAAGUAUUAAGUUAUUUAUUUUUAUAAUAUUUUAUUUUUAUUAAGUAUUUAAAAAUAAAGAAAAAACCAACAUAUUACUUUUUCUAUUUAGAAAAAAUUAAAUAUUUUGAUUUUUUUUACUCAAAAAAAUCUAUAAUAAGUCAUAAAAAUAGAAAAAUAACCCUCUUAGUUUAUAUUAAUUUCUUCUUUAACUUAAAUGAUUUUUUUUUUUUGUAGUUUUUUUUAGUGACUUUUAAAAAAAAAUGCAAAAAUGGACUUUUUGUGCUUAAGCUUUUCAAAUUAAUAGAUAUUUUUAUUAUUUUGUAUUUCAUAUUAAUAUAAUUAAAAAUAAAAAAUUGUUAAAAUAUCUCACGUGUAUAAAGGAAAUGAAUCAUGGGUAGAAACAAAUGGAAUUAUGCUAAAAUAUAAAUAAAUAAAUAAGAUAUUUUGGUUAUAUUGUAUUUUUUUUAUUGAUCACCAAUUUUUUAAACAAGAUCGGGAAUUGCAUUUUAGUCUCAUAGAAUGGCCCAAAAAGAUUAUGACACAUUGCAUAAUAAAUAGACAAAUGCAUUACGUGUGAGGCUGGUCCCAAAGGUGAUGGGGGUUGGGUAGAAUAGGACUUGCAUGUGACACCCAAAUAUCAUAUUCCCAAAAUCAGAAAAUAAAUUCCCGAAUCAAGGGAAACACUAUGAGAGAUAUGAGAGAUGAGAGAAUGGAGAAGAAGAAAGAGCAACGAAGGUGUUCUGCUACUACUGCGAGAGGGAGUUUAAGGACGAGAAGAUUCUUGUUCAGUACCAGAAGGCCAAGCACUUCAAGUGCCAUGUCUGCAACAAGAAGCUCUCCACCGCCUCUGGCAUGGCCAUCCACGUCCUCCAAGUCCACAAGGAAACUAUCUCCAAGAACUUUUGCUUGUCAUUUGCAAUUUUUUUUUUAAGACAAUUUCCAUUCAUGUGUGGGAUUGUUGGAAUUUAUAUUGGUGAAUGGAAAUUAGGAUUUUUUUUUUCUCAGAAGACAUGUUUCUUAAUAGACACAACUUAUUUUAAAGGAUGUGUCUUGUAUUUAAAAGACACAUCCUCUUCCAAAGGAUUUGUUUAACGUCUUAAGACACAACUAUAAACCCUCUAAUUUGUCUUCUUAGCAUAUGUGACACUAGGUGUCUUCUCAUACUCCUCUCUUGACUCGUAGACAUCCCUUAGUGGCCCAUCGACAAUUAUAUAGUUUCAUUUUCUAAACCACCUUCAGGGACCCUUUGUUGAGGUACUCAUUCGGACCUACAUUGUGACCUUGGCCAUCCUUUGUCCUUAGGUUAGAUCCCACUUAGGUUCACCUAGGCCCUCUUAGAUUUACUAAAGCCCACCUUGGCCCACCUUAACACACCUCAACCCAUGUUGGUCACUUUUAGGUAAUUCCUGCAUGACUUACGUAGUUCGCAUGAUUUGCAUUUUUAACGCUCAAAUAUACUUGAUUUUCUUAUUUAUUAAUUUUUCUAUUUAUUUAUUUAUAUUUAAUAUUAUUUUUUUAGUUAUUUGUUUAUUUUUCUUUAUUUAUUUACCUAUUUUCAUAAAAUAGCGUGUGGUUGGUUAUCUUGUCUCUUUUAUUACCAUGGGAACUCGGGUUAUACCAUGGGAAAUCAAGUUACUAUAAGAAGAGUGUAAAUGUGAAGUUGUGUUUGACUUAGGUGGUGUUUGUUUUUUUACUUAAUUCUAAAUAGAACCUUAAUACUUAAUAGUAUUAAAUAUUAGGUUGUUUGUUUUUAUAGUAUUUUAUUUUUAUUAAGUAUUAAAAGGUAAAAAAAAAUCAUUGUGUUAUUUUUUCUAUUUAGAAAAAGCCACAUAUUUUGGCUUUUUUUAUUUAGUAAAAAGUUUAUAAUAAGUCAUGAAAAAGUAAAAAAACAAACAACCUAAAUUCUAAAACUAAAUGGUUUUCAGCAAAAAGCCAAAAAAACAAACACCACCUUUAGUCUUUCUUUUUUUCCGACUCUUUGGGAAGAGUCCCAUUAGGAGUGUGCUAGUAGAGUCACAUUCCACUUACAAGUAGAGUCUCAUUCUGCUUACAAGUAAAGUCCUAUUUUGAUUACAAGUAGAGUCUCAGUGGGAUUGUGUUAGUGGCCUAUAAAAAUAGGUCACCCCUCACUCUCAAAUAAUUUUUUUUUUUCAAAGAGUUCUUCUAAAACUUCCAGCGUUUUGCUUCCCUCUCCACUCUUUCAUACAUUUAUUUGGAGGAAUUUUUUAGAACCCGAGUUGUACACGUCUCGCCUGUAGAGUGCACCUAAGGCGAGACUCACUGGUACCCUUGUGCAUUGAGUUCAUCUUCGAGAAUGGUGGAUCUAUUUCAAGGAUAGUGUUUGUCACACCUUAGCCUAUCACCGAUAAGUUUCUUGCUAUUCAUUUUGCUCUUUGUUCGUGUGUUUUGGGCUAGUCCUCUAUUUUCAUACCCUUAAAACAACAAUCAUGAAAUAGAUCCAAAUGGAAGCCUCUCUAGUUCACACUUGUCCUAACACCUCUAAGAUUGAUCCCUUCAACAGGACAUUGUUCAAGAGAUGGCAGGAAAUAGCUUUCUCUACAAUUGAUGUAGUGGACUUGGGACACAUUUUGACUGACCCAAAACCAGAAGAUGGUUCUAAAUCGUUGCCUACUUGGGAAAUUGGUAAUAAACAAGUUAGGCAUGAUAUUCUUAGUACCAUUUCUACAUAGUUGAUUCUUGUGAUAUUUGGCAUGGUAGAUUAGGACAUGUGAACUUUUCGUAUAUGAAGAAAAUGGUUGAAUUAAGUUUAAUUCCUAAGCGGUCCUUAGAAAACCUUGGAAAAUGUUAAUCAUUUGUAGAAUCUAAAACCACAAAGAUAUCUUGCAAAUCAGUAGAAAGAGAAUCAAAUCUACUAAGUUUAAUACACAGUCACUUAGGAGACCUAAAAAAUACAAUGACUAGAGGUGGUAAACAAUUCUACAUAACUUUCAUAGAUGACUACUCAAGGUAUACAAGUGUAUAUCUUUUGAGAAACCAAGAUGAAGCAAGAGAUGUUUUCAUCAAGUACAAAAAUGAAGUGGAAAAUCAACUAAGUAGGAAGAUUAAAAGGCUUAGAACUGAUAAAGAAUGAGAGUAUAAGUCCAACCCCUUUAAUUCUUUUUAUGAAGAUCAUGGGAUCAUUCAUGAAACUACUCUUCCUUAUUCCCACGAGUCUAAUGGAAUAGUGGAAAGGAAAAAAUAAAACCUUAAAAGAAAUUAUGAAUGCAAUGUUGGUAAGUUCAAGAGCAUCCUUGAACUUGUGGGGAGAAGCUAUCAUCUCUGCUUGUCAUAUUCAAAAUAGAAUACCUUACAAGAGAAUUGGUAAAACUCCUUAUGAGUUGUGGAAGGAUUAUGCACCUAAUAUAGCAUACUUGAAAGUGUGGGGGUGUUUAGCUAAAGUUCUUUUCCUUGAACCUAAAAAAUGAAAACUAGAAAAUGUUCAUUGGUUAUGCUGAGAAUAGUGUGGCAUAUAGGUUUCUUGUUACUAAGUCAAAAAAUAGUCUUGUAGAUGUCAAUACCAUAAUAGAAACAAAUAAUGCGGAUUUCUUUGAAAACAUCUUUCCCAUGAAACUAAAUAGUGAACAGCAAGUUCAGAAAAGAAGUAGAGAUGAGACUAUUGAACCUUCUAAAUUUGAACCUAGAAGGAGUAAAAAAGAUAAGAAACAAACAAACCUUAGAGAUGGUUUUUAAACCUUCCUAAUGGAUGAGGACCCUAGAUCCUUCAAAGAAGCUAUAACUUCUCCUGAUGCACCAUUCUGGAAGGAGGCCAUUAAUAGUGAAAUUGAAUCAAUCAUGUAUAACCAUACAUGGGAGUUAGUAGAUUUGCCUCCUAGUGUAAUGACUAUUGGUUAUAAGUGGAUCUUUAAAAGAAAGUUAAAACAAAAUGGGUCCAUAGAGAAGUAUAAAGCUCGUUUAGUUGCCAAAGGCUUGAACAAAGGAAUGAUGUAGAUUACUUUGACACAUUUACCCAUGUGACUAGAAUAACGCCAAUUAAAGUAUUGAUCGCUCUAGCUUCCAUUCAUAAUCUGGUGAUACACAAAUGGAUGUCAAGAUUGCAUUAUUGAAUGAGGAUUUGGAAAAGGAAAUUUAUAUAGAACAACCUGAGGGUUAUGUAGUUCCAGGGAAGGAAAAAAAGGUGUGUAGGUUGGUUAAAUCACUAUAUGGGUUAAAACAAGCUCUGAAACAGUGGCACAACAAGUUUGAGCAUGUGUUAGGAACUAAUAGAUAUUCCAUUAAUGAUGCUAAUAAAUGUAUCUAUAGCAAGUAUGAGCAUAACACAUGUGUAGUCAUUUUUCUUUAUGUUGAUGACAUGCUGAUUUUUGGAACUAGCCUAGAGGUUGUGUGUGAGACCAAGAAAUUCCUAGGUUCUAAGUUUGAUAUGAAAUACUUAGGAGAGGCAGAGGUGACUCUAGGAAUUAAAAUAACUAGAACACCUAAUGGGUUAAACCUUUCUCAAGAGCAUUAUACUGAGAAGAUCCUAAGGAAGUUUGAACACUUUGAUUGUAAACUAGUGUCAACUCCUUAUGAUCUCAACUCAUAGCUGAAGAAAAAUAGAUAACAAAAUGUUCCAUAAAUCGAGUAUGCUCAAAUCAUAAGGAGCCUAAUGUAAUAAAUGAACUGUAUAAGACUUGACAUUGCUUAUGCAAUAGGUAGAUUAAGUCAAUACACCCAAAGUCCUAAUCAGGACCAUUGGGCUUCUAUUCGUAGAGUUCUUAAGUAUUUGAAAGGCACCAUUAACUAUGGUUUGUGCUAUAAUGGAUUUCCAAGUGUCCUUGAAGGAUUUAGUGAUGCAAGUUGGAUCUCAGAUUCAGAUGAGAUGAAAUCCACUAGUGGAUAUGAUUUCAUUCUUGGUGGAAGUGCAGUUUCUUGGAAGUCUGCCAAGCAAACUUACAUUACUCCUUUACUAUGGAGACUAAAUUUAUUGCCUUAGAAAAUGCAAGUUCUAAGCUUGAGUGGCUUUAGAAACCUCUUAGCAGAUAUCCCUUUAUGGACGAGACCAGCCCCAUCUGUGUCUAUGCGUUGUGAUAGCCAAUGUACAAUUGCUAAGGAUAAAAGUAAAAUAUUUAAUGGAAAGAACGAGCAUAUAUGCCUAAGGCACAAUAUUGUGCAAGAGCUGCUUGAAAUCAGGGUUAUAUCCUUAGAAUUUGUGAGGUCGGAGUUGAAUUUGGCCGAUCCUUUAACCAAACCACUAAAUAAGAAACUAGUGGAAGAAACAUCGAGGUGGAUGGGGCUUAUGCCUAUUACAAAAGUCAAGGGUGGUGGUAACCCAACCUAUUAAAAUGGAAAUUCCAUAAAGUAUGUUCAUAUGGGUAAUAACAAAUCACUUGUUAACUUGAGGUGCUCUAUCAAAUUUAAUUAUACGAGAGUCUAUCCCUAUGGUGUAGAUAAAGUAUAUUCUUCAUUGACUAAGGUUGAGUGUUUACUCUUAAUGAAUACCAUAUUCCUUAUAGAUGGUAUGUUUAAAUGCAGAGCAUACUUUAUGGAUUCACCUAUAUGAGAGUGGAGGUGGUGUCGCUUCCUAUGAGAACUUAGGCAGGUUCUUUGGAGUUCUCAUGAAUAUCCAGGUAAGGCGCAUGGCCUAUUUGUGCCAACCCAUUAUGUACAACUCGUAGUGUAGUUGAGAAAAUCAAUGUUGAUAAAGGUCCCUUGAGUUACAUCAAGAAACAUUGGUUCAUAGAAAUUCAUUUUUCAUCAUGUUCUGUGAUUCAAUACUUAUUUGUCCUAAGACUGGUUCAUAGCCUUUGGGCACUAAUACUGAUGCAUUGAAUUAUUUUUUCCUCCAUUUUUUUCUUCCAUCACAUCUACUCUCUAUAGGGGAUUGUAUGAAAAGUGUAAAUGUGAAGUUGUGUUUGACUUAGUCUUUUAUUUUUUGUUGACUCUUUGGGAAGAGUCUCAUUGGGAGUAUGCUAGUAGAGUCCUGUUCCGCUUACAAGUAGAGUCAUGUUUUGUUUACAAGUAGAGUCCUUUUUUAUUACAAGUAGAGUCAUGUUCUGAUUACGAGUAAAGUCUUGUUAGGACUGUGUUAGUGGCCUACAAAAGCAGGUCACCCCUCACUCUCAAAUAAUUAUUUUUUUCAGAUAGUUCUUUUAAGCCUUCUAAUUUUUUGCUUCCCUCUCCACUAUUUCAUACAUCUAUCUAGAAGAAUUUUUUAGAACCCAAACUAUACAUGUCUCGCCUAUAAGGUACACCCAAUGAGAGAAUCACUAGUUGUUGAAUCCUGAAGGUAGGCCACUGCUACCCUAGUGCACCGAGUUUGUAUUCGAUGAGGGUAGAUCUAUUUCAAGGACAAUGUUUAUCACGCCUUAACCUAUUACCGAUAAGUUUCUUGUUAUUCAUUUUGUUCUUUGUUUGUGUGUUUUGGGUUAGUCCACUAUUUUCAUACCCUUAAAACAAUAGUUACUUCAUGGGAAAGAUAGGAUUAUGACUUGAAGGAAGUGAGAUGAAGAAGAUGUUGGAAGAGGAAAAGAUUUUUGGAGGAAAAUGACAAUUGUAUUCUUUAGGGAGUCGCGCCAUCAAUAUGGGAAGAUUGAGUUUCCAUUGAAAAAAACAAAGAUAAAAAAAUAUUUAAGAAAAAUGAUCAACAAAGACUGCUAAUUUGAUUUUGAGGGUCAUUUUACAAUAGACCGAACCAUCUAAUAACCCUUUUCUUCAAAAAAAAGGACAUCACCUUAUGACCAUACUAAAUCCAACAUUGCCAUUUAGACCACAAGGAUGUUUGUUUGCUAUUUGCACCAUAAAAUGAUGCAUGAAGUUGUAUCGUGCACCAUUUUGUGAGUUGCAAACCACAUUCUGGUAAGUUAAGAGUAAAUAAUCCACAUCAAAUUUUGGAAGCCAUGACAUCUGGGGGCUUAUUAAUACUUGAGAGGAACCUUUUCGACUUUCCGACAUCUUUGAUCAUUUAAUCCAAAUAAAAGUAAAAAAAUCAAAGAUAAUUAGCGAAUAAGGUUGUGAUAUGGUGCCUAAUUUCGGGUGUAAUAACCUUAAUUUUGAGUUAUAUAUCACAUUUGAUCGUCAAAGACAUGAGCAAUAGAUAACGGGGGUUUAGAUUCUUCCAUCCAUAUACCAAUGAUGGCGGUGAUGGUGAGAGGGUCUUGUGGCGCGCCGUCAAAGCCAUCCAAAAAGAAAGCUCCAACCUAGACUACAUCAUCUACACUGAUGACCAUGAUACUUCUUCUAACAGCUUGAUGGCUUGUGUCGUUCAACAUUUUGGUGGAGUUUUCAAGGUGAGGGUUGAAAAACAGGUUUGAGCGUGUUGGAAAAGAGAUUCAAAGUGUUGGGAGGAUUUUUCAAAAAAGAGAUCGCACACAAAGGAUGGUCCUCUUUCUAGUUGAGAGAACGACGAGCUGAAUUUUUUAGGAACAACAAUCAGAAUUUUUAGAAUGGUGGAUGUUCAGAAUUUUUUUUUUUUUUAUGGGAUAACGAUCAGAAUUUUUUCGAGGACAUCAAUCAAAAUUUUUGGAGAGGAAGAUGCAACAAAGAGCCAUUAUCCUAGCGCUCACCACCAAAAUUGUAGAACCAACUCACCAUUGACAACUUUUCUCUAUCUUCAUGCACAGGUUGAUCAAUUGACCAUUGGGACACUCUCUCUACGAGAAAACCAAUAGAACCAAUUGUCAUAUUCAUAUGAAAGAAGGUUGCCACAUGGAGGGGCUACCACUUUGAAACCAUUGUCGGCAUUAUUGAUGCUAAGCCAACUGGAGUUAGGUCCAUCUAGCUUCGUUGAAGUUAGAAAAACUUCUUCCCUACUUCGUGACUCUUAAAGAAUCCGUCUAGCUAUACUGGAGUUAGACAAGCUUGCUUCCUGCACAAAAGGAUGUUCGGACGGGUAGUUCAGACACGUCCCUUUGAAGCUAAAGUUAGACAAGAAUAGCUCUAACUAUUUUGUGGGAAAGAGUGAGUGUGUAUGUACACGCGUACCUUGUUCGUACUUUUUGGAGGGUUUAUAUAGAACUGAUGACACUACCACUAUAGUACUGACUAGACACUUUGACCUUCUUUUGUAAUGAUAAUUAUCCUGCGGGCGGCUGGACAAUUAUCAUAGUUAAGGGCAGUUGGCAGGUGCCAUUUGCUGACAUGUCAAGAUCUCAGACCAUGUAGCUAUCUGUCCACUCAGUCUGUCAACGUUUGGGAUUAUGUUGAGUCAUUAAUUGACAUGGACUUGUGGGCUAAAUGGAGUCUUGUUGGCUGCUCAAAUGUCAAGCGUGAAUGAUCAAGCAUGCCAGAGGUCUUUAAGACAUGACUAGACAAUUCUUGCCAUUUGGGAGUCCAGACUCCCAAUGUCACCUGGCCCUAUGGGGGAAAGGAACCCUCUCACUUCUAGUGCCAGACGAAACUUGUCUUGGUCUGGAUGGAACGAUCUGAAUAAGUUACACGUUUGUCCUAGACGGCCAAAGUGUUUGAGCUGGAAAAGGACACGUGGAAAGGGACCCCUCACAAUACCCCCUUAACCUAUCUACCUAUGUUCGAACACCGUCGAGUAGAGGUAGAAUGAGUUACCUAUCUUCUCAGGUUACUUAGGCACUUUAGAACACGUAUCACUUGAAGUAGCAAUGAUGGGUCGCAUCCAUCGAGGCUACCAUUUAGAAGGAGCGCCGCUUUGAGAUAUGUUUCCAAACAACUUGUCUUUUAGGAUUCCUAGGUUUUUGGGUCCUUAUAAAUAGAGGGCCCCCACACCCUUUGGAUUACUUUUUGGUUUUUCCCACUCUAGAGUUUUCUCUUCUUAGUUUCUGCAUCUUCAUUGUCGUUACGCUAGUUGCCGCUCAUUCUCCACUAUUCUCACCGUCAUUCUCAAGCUUGCUUCCGAUGUACUUCCUCUCGCUAGAGAGCACUUACUUUUGACUCUAGUAAGCCUCUUGUCAUUCGCUAUUUUUGUUGUUCACUGUUCAUUUUGGGACUACGUCGACGGUUGUUGAGUUUAGACCAAAAAUAGACCUCGUGGCAUCCAAAUUCUAAGGUUGUCUUAUGUCUUCAUUUUGGAGAAGAUGACUGUAUCGACCAUCAAAUCUAGGAUUUUCUAGAUUUCUCCAUUUUGCUUCCUCAUUGUUAAUACCUUCAAGGGUCGGUUUAGGCAUUUUUUGUCCUGCCACCGUCGUACUAGUAAAAAGGGAGCGUGAUCCUCCUUUUGAUUACUGGUCAAGAGGCUUGCUCUACAAGUUUCAUUAAAAGGUCUGUUUAGACUUGGACUUUUGGUCCAUCUAGGUUUUUUGUUGUAUAGUUGAGGCACUGCAAAACGGCGGAUGGGUCGGGUGACCAUUUCUAAUAACUUUGUUGUCCCACGCAGGUUUCCACGCUGCCCAAAGUUACUCAGCAUGUAGGCAAGAUGAGGUAUUGCUUCCACCAGUGGAGGUGGUAGGCCCUAGAAAGGUGGUCGGAGAGAUACUAGAGUAAAGUGCCUUAAAUCAAAACUUCUAGUUGAUCUUCUGUCCGAAUAGGAGUUUCGGGCACGCUUUCAUAUCUCAGACAAAAUUUCUAUCCACCUAGUAGACAACGAGGCUCUAUCCUCCAAAAACUAGUCCUAUAACUCGAUGUACUUCAGCAAUGAGCAAUUUGUUGUGAGGCUUCAUCUACUUCUUCCCUCAUUCUAUAAGCAAUUUCUCCACUUCACCUAGAUUCCUCUAGCUUUCCUUCAUCCAAAUGUUGUCCGGGUGUUGAUGGGAUGCAGCAUUAUGGACAUGCUCUUCUAGUUGGACCUUUCCUUAAUGGAAGUCUUGUUCAUCUAUACGGUGAAGAUGAGUCAGAAGGAAAGGUUUAGCCUGUCAUCCCACAUCAUUUCCCUCUAGCUAGUGACCGGACUUCCAAACUCAAACAAAGGUGGGACAAAGAGGCAUGUCCUUGUGUCCGGUCCUUGGAGGGAUCCAUUUGAGGGGCUAGACAGAGUCUUUACUCUAUAGCACUCGCUAGAGAUUCCAAGUAGGAUAUGCCUCUAUAACUUUUAUCUAUUCUUCACAAUUAUUUCUUCCUCACUGAGAACUUAUUGGUAAUCUUUCUUUUUGUGUAAUGCAGGCAAGGAUAGGCAAGGUCGUCUUGUAGAGUAGCUGGAUAAAGUUUCCUUCACCUGACUCAACAAGAUAUUCGAGAUAGACGCGUCUGAACGGAAUCAUCAGGUUCUUUUGUCAGACAAGAAUCUAUUAGCUUUGAUCAACGACCCUAAGCUAUUUAUUAUCCCCGUUUUCCCUCACGUGGCUUCCCUGUCUUUGGUGCCCGACGAGCACUUCGUGCUAAAGGACUUGCUCGUUUAUGAGGUUGCUCGUUUGGCAAAUUCAGAGACAAGUCAGGCCCGUCUAGAGUCACGGGAGAAAAAAUUUUUAGGAAAGGACGCUAAGGCAAGCUUCGACUACAAACCGUCCGGCCUCUAGCUCCACCAUCUGGCCUCUUGCUAAGAAUAAGAAAUGACUUAUUGUUUAGCCCAUUCAAAGGGCAUGGACUCCACCACCUGCACCUCCGACUUCUCCAUCAGCUUCAUCCUCAUCUCCUUCUUCAACUGCCAACACCGAGCCAGAGACAAGGGUUGAGCGGUGGUGGCUCCCAUUGUUUGUGAAUAUGAAGAAAAGGUAGACAUGGCUACAAACUUGAGGGCUGGAUUUCAGGAGAGGCAACACAAGCACCUGUCCGAAUCCAUCGUGGUUAACCUUGCUCCCUCGAAGAGAGCCUAUCCGAAGCCUAUCUACCAAGAACUUGUCUCGGCUCCUACCCCGAUGCCAAUGUCUUCAACUACUGCUGCAUAUACCAUUCCUGAAUUGGACGAGAGGCUUCCUUCCACUGAAGGCAUUACUUACCAUGAUCCAAGGAGGCCCUCCAUCGGUCCGGACCAUCUCAGUGAUGAGUCGCUUGAAUACAUGACUUUCUUUCCCUCCCAUCCAAAGUCAUCCUACGUUCCCAGCCGGGAGGAGAUAACUGAGUUAAUGAGGUAGACUCAUUUCUUCACUGAGAGAGAGAAUCCAAUACAAAAUAUGGGAGUGCUCUUUCUGGCCACUCAACAGAUCCCGGUCGAGAUAGAGAGCAAUCUCAAUCAAUCCUUCAUAGCAUGGCUCCCAUUUGGAACUCUAGACACUACCAUUUCUCGUAUCAUGCCCAUGCAAGACUAUACGACUUUUGAGACGACGGAAGUGGUAAGUCGUUUCCCUUUUCUGUUUAUUCUACCUUAGUCUUUGGUUUCUUAAUAAUUUUCUUGUUGCCCCUUUAGGUGAUAGCCGAGGUCUAAAACCUUAUAUGGCAAUGCGCUCAACUCUUCUACCAACUAGAAGCUGCCAAGAUCAUAAAGGCAUACAUUGCCUAUAACAUGGAUGACAAUAAGAAUCUCCACACCAGGUUGGAGACAACAAAGAGUGAGGUCACUACUACCCGAAAGCUCAUUGAGGAAAAAGUUGGGCUGUUGAGGAAGACAGAAGAAGGGAAUGAGGCAACUGAAGCUGAGGCUAGUCAGCUAGCCAAGGAGAUGGAGACGAUGGAGAUUAGCAAGAAGAAGGUCGAUGAGAAGGCUAGACGGCUGAGGUAAGGGCUACAGGAACUCCGGGCCGUGUUCGCUGUUCAAGAGGAAGAGUUGGAGGCUAAGUACCAGAAACAAGUGGACGACAUGUUCUUCUAUGGCUACAGGUGUUGUAUGAAGAAACAUGGUAUCGCCCAAGACACCCCCAGUUUCUUUUGGACGACGAGAAUGAAGCUGCAGGCAGCCCUGCCCAGGGUAGAAGAGAUGCUUUUGGAAUCAGUCCUUCUGGCAGGCAUGCUUGAUCUUGUAUUUGUACGCGUUUAUCCUAGUCGCAUGUGUCUUAGACGAAAAAACUUGUAAAGACGUUGGAUUUUCCAUAUUUUUUAAUAAAUCUAUUUUAUCCAUUUCUUUUCAUACAUUUUACUUUCAUAAACAAGUUUUAUUGAUAAUACAGCUUUAGGUUAGACACAUUCCAAGGGCAGAGUAGGGGUACAUCGUCUAGUGUUUGAAGAUGGUAUGCCCUUGAGUCUUUACCCUUAGUCACAACGUAUGGCCCUUCCCAAUUAGCCUGAAGCUUUUCGGCUCCUACUUCGACUAUGUUCUCGAAGACUCUUCUGAGGACUAGAGUUCAUGUCCUGAAAAAUCGUGGUCGCGUCUUUUUGUUGUAAUGAGAGAUCGCCCUCUAGCGGUAAGAAGCCAUCUGAGUAGCCACGUUUCCUCGUAUUUCAUCUACCCAAUCCAAAUGUUUUCCAAUUUCUUCAUCGUUAUCUCUUUAACCUUGGACGACCGUUUUGGCGGUAGGCAUGCCUAUUUGGGUUGGAAUAACGACUUCCAUUCCAUAGGCAAGGGAGAAAGGAGUAGCUCUUGUUGGCUAUCUAGAUGUGGUCUGAUAAGCCCAUAAGACUUCGAGCAGUUCGUCUACCCAUUUCCCUUUGGCUCAUUCCAAUUUUUUUUUUAGUGUAGCCAAUAGGGUUUUGUUUGUUGCCUCCGCUUUCCCGUUGCUCUAAGGAUAGCGAGGCGUUGAAUAUAGGUUCUUAAUGUUUAACUCCAAGUAGAAUGUUUGGAAGACAAUACUGUCAAAUUAUGAUCCAUUAUCUGCCACAAUCGCUCGUGGGUCUCCGAACUAGCACACGAUGUUUUUCCAAACGACCUUGGAAACAUCAUUGUCCUUGAUGUUGGCAUAGGCUUCUGCUUCUACCCACUUGAUGAAAUAGUUAGUUGCUACAAGUAGAAAUUUCUUUUACGCUGCUGCGACAGGUAAGGGGUCGAUUAUGCCCAUCCCCCACUAUGCAAACGGCCAAGGACAUGUGAGCGGGUUGAGAGCUUUAAAAGGUAUACGGGGAAUGGGGGCAUAUCUUUGACAACGAUCACAUAUCUUAACAUAGUUUCCAACAUCUUGUUUCAUGGUGGGCCAAUAGUAUCCUUACGUGUGAGCACGAUGCGCUAGGGUUCGUCCGUCUGGGUGAUUGCCACACACACCUUCAUGGAGUUCGGCCAUGACAUAUUUGGCUUUUAGAUCGCUCAAACAUCUUAGGUAUGGACCUCCAAAUGACCAUCUAUAAAUAUGGUCAUUGAUGAGAGUGAAGAUGGCAGCCUAUACACAAAGUCUGUGCGCCUACUUCCCGUUUUUCAAGUAAUUCUCCCAUCUUGAGGUAUUUCACAAUAUCCUGUAUCUAACCAAGGUCUGCCUCAUUGGCACUACAUACUGGUCCAGGUAUGAUUGAGGGUGUGGCUUGGAGUUGGACGGGCAGCAUUAUUGCUUCUCUUAUAGGGAGAGUGGCAGCUAUUCCGGCCAGGGCGUCCACCUUCAAGUUCUACUUUUAGGGUACUCGUCUAACAAUCCACUCAUCUAGAUUUUUUAGGCAAUUUUCCACCAUAGCGAGGUAGCGAGCCAUGCACUCAUCAUUUUCUUUGUACUCUUUCUGAAUUUGUCCAAUGAUUAGCUGAUAAUCGCUCCUGAUCUCUAGCCUUGUUGUAGUCAAUGUUAUGGCAAAGUCUAGCCUAGCUAGGACGGCUUCAUUUUCCGCUUCAUUGUUGGAGGCAGAAAAGUAGAGACGGAUGGCUUGCUCCAACAGUUCUUCAGUUGGUGAUUAUAGGAUCAAACUUACUUUAGAAUCGGACGCCUUGGAUGUUUCAUCUACAUGAAGUGUUCACCAUUGCUCCAGGGGACUCAACUAGAUGUGCUAGUUUUUGAGAGAGUUCGGCUAUAAAGUCGGUCAUAACUUGUCCCUUCAACGCUAACCUUGGCUGGUAUUUGAUUCCAUGUUCACUUAACUCAAUGGCCCAUUUCAACAUUCGUCCAGAUAGAUUUAGUUUGUGUAGGGUAACUCGGAGUGGCUGAUUUGUGAGCACAAUCACUUGGUGAGCCUAGAAGUACGGGCGAAGCUUCUAAGUGGCAUUUUUCAGGGCUACGGUCAUCUACUCCAUUCUAGAGUACCGAGUCUCUAUGUUGACCAUUGCUUUACUCACAUAAUAGACGGGAUUUUGCUAUUUGUCUUGUAUGUAUCGAAACAAGACAGCGCUAACUGCACAGUCAGAUACAUCCAGGUACAUAUAGAGUUGUUUAUCAUACUUGGGGCUGCUCUGAAUGGGCGGUUCAAUGAGGUUGCGCAUGACUACUUCAAAUGUCUAUUUGCAUUCAUCCGUCUAGCCGAAUGUGCUUGCUCCAUUGAGCGUGAGGAAGAAAGGCCUCAACUUGUCUGUGAAACAGGCUAUGAAAAGUUGGAAAGCGACUAGACAGCCUGUGAGGUGUUGCAACUCCUUUUUGCUACUCGGGGCAAGUGUUUCAAGGACGACUUUUAUUUUAUUCGGAUUAACUUCAAUUCCUCUUUGGGUCACCAUAAACCCUAGAAACUUUCCUACACAAACGCCAAAAGUGCACUUAGCAAGAUUAAGCUUCAUGAUGUAUGCCCGCAUCAAGCGGAAUGUUUCUUCCAGGUGCUGGACGUGUUCAUCUUGGGUUCCGUUUUCACAAUAAUGUUGUCAAUGUAGACUUCCACGAUUCAAUCGAUCAAGGGCUUAAAGAUCUUCCUUAUUAAUCUUUGAUAAGUAGCACCAACAUUCUUGGGCCUAAAUGACAUGACUUUGUAGUAGUACAACCCAUAUGGUGUAACAAAAACUGUCUUCUCCUCAUCCAGCUAGAACAUGGGAAUUUGGUGGUAUCCGGAGAAAGCGUCUAUAAAGGAAAGCAUCCCAUGCUCGACUGUGGCAUCAACUAUCUGAUCUAUUUGAGGUAACGAAAAAAUAUCCUUUGGACAUGAGUCAUUCAGGUUGGUGUAAUCAACACAAACUCACACUUCCCAUCAUUCUUUGGAAUGACCACCACAUUUGCCAACCAGUCCGGAUACUUGACUUCUCUGAUAAACCCGACCACUAGCAACUUGUCAAUCUCCGCCUGGAUGAUUUUCUGCCUAUCCGGAUGGAAGCGUCGAACCUUUUGUUGGACGGGAUGUGAAGAAGGUAUGACAUUGAGCCUAUGAGAGGCCAUAGAUGGAUGGAUUCCCGGCAUAUCAGAGUGAGUCCAAGCGAAGACAUCUUUGUUCCAUUGAAACACGCUUUCGAGCAGUUCUAAUUCAACCGAUGUGAGCAAGGAGCUAGUAUAGGUGAUUUUACCUGUGUCAUGUGAGAGGCUCAGUGGUUGGAGUGGAUCAGCUGCAGAUGGAUCAUUCUCCACCGAGUUCAAUAAUUGCUAUUGCUCUCUUGUAUUUGAUAAUUUUGGAUGUGCCUCUUCACUAGCUGGGUGUUCAGAAUCUAAUGCACCAAUGAGCUAGCUGGUUGCCAAAAAGGUUAAUUUGUCCAUUCUCAAUGAGGUAGCUCACCAUUUGAUCAUACGUAGAGGGAACGACUUUCAUUCUAUGAAGCCAUGCACAUCCCAUGAUGGCGUUGAAAUGGGACAAAUCCUCGACCACUGAGAAUUGUAUGUUCAGGGUGAUUGAGCUAACCUAGACAGGGAAUACAAUGUUACCCUAAGAAGUCAUCGUGGCUCCAUUAAACCUGGAUAGUAAUCGCCCUAGAUUCUCUAGGGCAGAGAGUGAGUAGUCCAUCUACUUGUAAGCUGACAUUUGUAAGAGGUCAGUUGAGUUACUUGGAUCGAUCAGAACCCUUCUCACGUCGAACCCACUUAUUCCUAGUGUUAGGACUAAGGCAUCUUCAUGUGGUUGCAAUACUUGACUAGCCUUUACAAAAGGAAAGGUUACUAUGCCGUCGACGGGGCGCAUAUUUCCUUCCAGAAAGUUGUGUUGAAAGGUGCUAAUUCUCUAUCUUAUAGAGGUUGUACAAAGCAACCUUUGCCUUUUUUGUUUAAAACUAUAUUUUUCGUCAAUGGGGCCUCCGUGGAUGUAAUUAAUGAUAGCUCUAGGAGUUGUUGAAGAUGUGGGGGCUUGGACGGCUAGGUCUUAGGUCGUCUCUCUUUGCCUGCCAAUUGCACCAACAUAUUGUUUCAGGUGUUCGACCAUGAUUAGUUUUUUCACCAAGUAGUGGAGACUUCAGCAUUGUUCAAUGGUAUGGUCGUGAUCUUUAUGAUAAGCACACAUUUUGCUCCAAUCUUAUUUAGCCGGAUCUAUCUUGAUCGAUUCUGGUCACCUGAAGUCAGACAGAUUGUAGAUCAUCAGGAGGAGUUUCUCAUAUGGGAUAUUGAAGAGGGUCAAACUAGUAUGAUUCUACUACUGUUGGCCAUCUCGCCUCUUGUUAGCUUGCUUCAAUUGUUUUAAGGGCUUAGAACUUCCUGUCUGGUCAUGCCUGGUCGAACGAUUGGUGACCAAGACUUACUGAGUAGCCGCCCGGACGUCAUCUUCAAGCAUGGAGUACUUAUUUGCUCGUUUGAACAAAUCGUCCAUCGUUGUCGGUGGCUUCUUUGCGAGAGACUCAAAGAAUGGUGUGCCUGGACAUAUGCUUGACUUGAAGAUCUGUAGGAUGGCGUCCAUGUUGCAGGAUUCCACCUCGAGAACAGCCUAUCCGAACCAUUUGAUGAAGUCUAUGAGUGACUCGUUUUCCUACAUCUUGAUGUUUUGUAGAGUGUUUAUUUUUUUCUUAUGAUGAGUUGAAUAUAAGUAGUGGCCCAUAAAGGCCUCCGAUAAAUCCCGAAAAUUGUUCACGAAAUUAUUUGGGAGACGGUGGAACCAAGAGAGAGUCUAGUCGUGUAGGCUGGCUGGAAAGAAUUUGCACAACAAUGCAUCAUUCCUUAUGUCCAAAGUCAUGAGCUGCCUGAAGUGCAUGAUGUGAUUGAACGGAUCACUUAUUCUGUUGUAUAUCGUGAAUUUUGGCACUAUGAACCCCCUUGAGGGCUCAUAGUUAAUAAUGUGAAGGUCGAAUGGCAUAGAGAUCAUGUCAUCUAACCGUCGACUACCAAAGUCGGGUGUGGCUCGAUUUGCGGGGGAUCCUCCUUAUUACUGCCUAAGUAGAUGAGAAGGCGACUCCAACAUAAUUGUUGCUACUGAGGGACUUAGACGGGCCUCCAGGGUUUCUACCAUGUCUGGUUUUCCCUCUAUGCCUGGCGUUUGAGGUCUCAAUCGGGCUCGCAUUACAUCUGAUAGACGUGACUAUUUGUCGCACCUCUUCUUUACUGAUACCUAGUUGAGUAGGUGUUUUCGUCCAACUACACCUAGCGAGCUGAUGAAAACUCCUCCUCAAACCAUGUCAUAUGAUGCCAAAUGGGAAAUCUGCAUUCCCGGGAAAAAAUGUCUCAUCAGUACGUCUUGAGGCUGUUCACUAGCUUUGCAGUUUGUCGACUUUGAGAGGGGCCCGCUAAUGACAUUGGGACAUGCAACUCUUCACUCUCUUCUUUGAGUCGCCUUGUUUGGUGAAGCAAAGACUGUAUCUACCGAUCACUCUCUCGUUGGAGUAUUUCCAUACUUACAUGCCAGGCAAAGUAGCUUUCGCUACCCAUAGCUGAUGAUCAGCUUCUAGAGAGUGUUAACUUCCUUAGUCGUUCCCAAAAACGGUGCCAAUGUUGAUGCUAAGCCAACUAGAGUUAGGUUCAUCUAGCUUCACUAAAGUUAGACAAACUUCUGCCCUACUUUGUGCCUCUUGAAGAAUCCAUCUAGCUAUACUGGAGCCAGACGGGUUUGCUUCCUACAUAAAAUGAUGUCCAGAAGGGUAGUCCAAGCACGCCCCUCCGAAGCUUAAGUUAGACAAGAGUAGCUCUAACUAUUUUGUGGGAAAGAGAGAGCGUAUGUACGCGUGUACCUUGUUUGUGCUUUUUGGAGGGUUUAUAUAGAGCUAAUGACACUACCACUAUAGUGCUGACUAGACACUCUGACAUUCUUCUAUAAUGAUGAUUGUCCUGCAGGCGGCUGGGCAAUCAUCACAAUUAAAGGUGGCUGGUGAUUCGUGCCCAACUGGUGUACUCUUGAUUCAGUCCUCAGACGAGAGUUAUCAACAAAAUUUAUAAGCUUAUUUCACCAUAUACUAGGGUAGCAUAGCAUAGUGGUUCUAGGAUCAUUCACUGGGAUGGGUUUUCAUUUCACACCUGAUAUUAGUUUAAAGAAUUGGAUUGGUGCUUUUUCUUUUCCAAGUUAGCUUUAAAAGAAAACAUAAUCUUUGGUUUGGAAAAUGUUGGUUUUAAGCUAACAAAAAAAAAUAGUAAUUGAUUUUAAUUACAAAGAAAAAGGUUUCUUGGAGUUUGAGGUCACUAGAUUCAGGCCCCUUAUACAAAAGUGGAGAUUCCGGAUCUUUCCUCGUAUUAGGGAUUUAACCUAUAGUUAUUCUCCCAAUUGGUGUGUUAUAGUUGCUUUCCAUUGAUGGUUUCAACGCUAAAUCCCUCUCACUGAUGCAUCUUACAAUGGCUCGUACCUCUCACCUAGCAUUUGCCAUUCAAGGUGAUCCUUAAGCUUGGAUUACCCUUCAAAAGCUGGCAAGAGAUAACUAAUGGAUGUCUCCUUAGAGUCCAAAAGCUUACCAAGUGUUGGCUAUUCUAGAAAAUCCUACCUUUAAACAACCUACCAGAGGCUCGCAAGAGAUAAACUAGUGUAACUCAAUGGACGGAGUCCACUUGCUGAUUACUACCAAAAAGUGCUAUUUUGUAGACCUAACUAUAAUGGUUUUAAGCACCUUUGAGUAGUAAUCAUAUUCAUUUAACCCAAUUAAUUCAUUAAGGUCCUUAGUAAUUGGUUUUAACCAUUUUGUGGCAAGUUUACAUGUUUUUAUCAGCUUAUGAAUCAAUUCAAGCAUGCCAAAUGAUGGAGGAGCUACUUGGACAAGUUAUGGUAAAGCUUUUGGAAGCUCAAAUUCAUGAAGAACCAAGCUUUGGAGCUCCAUAGCCCUUUGCCAAAGUCGUUCAAAGUAUGCAAGGAAAGAACAAUGGAAAAGAGGAAAAGCAAGCAAAGUGAAGAGAAGCAAAGAGGACAGCAGCUGCAGUAUUCUUUCACACUUUUGGAGCACUUCCUGAAGUCCAUUUUUUACAUGCUAUAUACCAUUUCAAAGCUCUGGAAGUCAAGAAUCCAACUCUUCAAACCGUGUAUGAUUUGGAGCUGAAAUGAGGAAGAUAUGGCCUUCGGAAGCCAACUGCUCUAGGUUGUACGAAAAUUUCGCACGACACAAGGUGUUAUGCGAAAUUCGCACGACACAAGGUGUUAUGCGAAAUUCGCAUAACACCUUCAAAAUUCACAUAACCCAUGCGUGGUGCGAAUUUUCCUCUGUUUUUGCCAACUCCACUUUAGAUAUUUUCCUUUGUAUUUUGUGAUGUAAUUUCCUUUCUUAUCCUUGUAACUAACCAAUCACAAGUUUUUGCUUUUGUAAAGACUAUAUAAGGGGUGGAAAUCACCUCUUGGAAAAUAUAUAGAACAUAGGUUACGUUUUACACUUAGAGAAAUAUACAGAGCUCUCUCGUUUCUCUUUUCUCUUUACUAUUUUAUUUUCUUGGAAGCCAAACAGCCUCUGAGGGCUUUUCCUCAGAGGAUGAUUGGCUAAAACUUUUAGUUUCUCAAAGUAUGGAUGUUAUGUGAUAGCUUGGAUGCAAUCCCAUGGAAAUUUCUCGCACCUAGAAGGUAAGGUAGACGUUUUUCAUUAAAGGUUCAUUAAUGCAAAGUUUGGUUUUUAUUUCCUUUGGACAACUUCCAACAGCCAAUACUUGAUAAGCUUUUGGAUUUCUAUCCAUUAGUUAUCUCCUACGAGUUAUUGGAAGGUGAGGUUUUCAAUUCCAAGUUUUGCAUUAAUCCAUUAGAACCAAUUUCAAUGGCCAUUGAAAGGUGAGUUUAUCACCUGGAAUGACUUUGAGUUGCCAAUAUUUGGUAAGCUUUUGGCUUUAGACCAUUAGUAAUCUCUUACGAGCCAUUCAAAGGAAGUCUAAGGUGAAUAACCAUUGAUGAAAUUCACUACCAUCUGUUUUGCCAUUUUAAAGGAUUAAAACUUGAUUUGCUAAAUCCAUACCGGUUCGGGAAGCAAGCAUCACCAUAGUUGCAACCCCAACGCGAGGAGCCUAUCCUGAGAUUUCCAAUUUGCAUAAGAGCCAGAGCAUAGCUAUCCUAUCUUUGAGAAACUUGUUUUUACACCCUUUCAUUUUAGUCUUUAAUGUUAGCUUAGAUUAGUUUAAAUCUUUCUAAAACAUUUACAUCUUCUUUUAAAGCUAACAUCCAUAAGAAAAUCACCUAUUUUCCUAAUUUGAAUAUCACUUAUGUUUGCGAAAACUCUUCCCAGUGAACGAUCCUAGAACCACUAUGCUAUAGUAGCUUGGCUACUUUAGUAAUAGUAUUUAAGGUAUAAAUUUUGUUGAUACGCCUUUAAAGCUAAGCUACCAUGAGUCGAAUCACUUGCUUUACCAAGUGUUGGCCCAGGUGAUUUUAAGUCAUUUUAAGUUAACUAAAAAUAUAAAAAUCAUUAACGGGUCACAACUUCCUCUUCAUUAAAAACUAAAAAAAGGAAAACUCCCACUUUUGUAGUCGGGUCCCUUACCUAGCUCCCUUCCGUCCAAGAGACAAAAAGUCUAACCUCUCAUCCUCUAAGAAAAUAUCUUUAGAGGUUGUUUGGUUAGAAAGAAAAAUACAAUCAAAACGAGUAGGUAAGGUAGAGCAACGCUCUGUAUAUUUCUUACUAAAACAUGUCAAGUGAUCCUCCUCUCCAAUGUCUUCCCCUCUUCAAAGAGACGAGAGAUAUCAAAGAUAUAUGAGAGAUAUAUUACAAGGAGAUAUCUUAGGAUAUAUAUAAAGAGAUAUUUUCAACCUCUUGAUUAGAUAUCCUAAAUAUCUUAAAAGAUCUUCAACUGAUUACAAGGAGAGAAUUUAUAAUUACACCAAAUAUCUUAAGGUAAAAAUCUAACGAAGUCGGUGUAAAAUAUCUAAAUAUUACAUUUUCGCAUCGGAGAAAAGUGAUGCAAAAAUUUUUGCAUCGAAGAAAGGCAGUGUGAAAAUUUUCGCAUUAGAGAAAGUUAGUGCGAAAAGUUUCACAUCGGGGAAAGUCAGUGCAAAAAUUUUCGCAUCAGGGAAUGUCAGUGCGAAAUUCCUUUUUAGCUUUAUGCAGUUGCCUUCAAAUGGUCAUAACUUCUUCGUUUUAGCUUCGAUUUGCACACCGUUUGAAGCAUUGGACUCCUGACUUCCCAAGAUUCGAAAUAAUAUAUAGUAUAUAGACAAUAAACUCCAAGAAGUGCUCCAAAUUUUCCUUGAAACUGCUGCUCUUUUGAAUUUUGCAUAACAUGUGAAGAUUUCGCAUUACCAUGUGAAAUUGCUUCAUGAUGGAUUUAUUUCUCUAAUCCUCUUCCUUUCAUCUCUUGAUUUUCUUGGAAGCUCAUUCCCAAGGGUUGCACAAAAUUCUCCCUCAUUCUUGGCUUGCUUCAAUGAUAAAAAAGCUACCAAAAACACCAAAACUAGCCAAAAAUUGAUUAAAAACAUUUGCAAGGUUCCUUAACUUGCCAAUUGAGUUAAAAGGUAUUAAUUACUACUCAAAAGUGUUUAAAAUAGUUUAUAACAAGCUAUAAAAAAUGCACUUUUUGAGUAGUAAUCAGCUGGCAAGUGCCAUCUGCUGACGUGCCAAGAUCUUGGAUCGUGUAGUUGUCUGUCCCCUCAACCUGUCGACGUCUGAGAUUAUAUGCAGCAAUUAAUUAACAUGGACUUGUGGGCUAAAUGGAGUCUCGUAGGCCACUCAAAAUGUCAAGCGUGAAUGAUCACGCAUGCCAUAGAUCUUUAAGACUUGAUGGGACAGUUCUUCCCGUUUGGGAGUCCGAACUCCCAAUGCCGUUUGGCCUUGUGAGGGAAAGGAACCCUCUCACUUUUGGUGCCAGACGGAACUUGUCUUGGUCUGGAUGGAAUGAUCCGGAUGGAUUACAUACUUGUCCUAGACGACUAGAGUAUCUAAGCUGGAAAGGGACACGUGAAGGGGGACCCCCCAUAGGCAUUUCUUCAUCACAAAGGAGCUUCAACAUGUACCGCUUCAUGGGAACACCCAUAGGUGAGUUUUUAUUUUUAUUUUAUAGGAAACUUUGGUAUUUGGAUCCAUGAGGGUCAUAUAUGUAGUGGAAGAUUGACAAUUGUUUUUUUUUUUUAAUAUAAUAUAGAGUCAUGAAUGUUUGGAAGCUAGUGCCUUGGCUUUUUUUAGAGAAAAAAAAAAAGUAAGAUUGCUGUAUAUACACAUGGCCAUCCAUGCGAUGUUUCAAGUGUGUUAGUAGUUUGUUUCAUUGAAUUAAAAAUUAAAGUGAAUGUGGUGGGUCAUGUUGUUAUUGGUUUACAUUCUUAUAAAUUUAAAAUGAAACAAAUGAAAACUAAUAUCCAUGUAGCUUUAUAAUAUUCAUAAAAAUUUAUUUAUUUAUUUAUUUAUUCAUUUUUAUAAAUUUAUUUGUUUCAAAUUUUGAAUAUCCAUGUUAGUUUAUACUUUUCAUAAAAUCAUUUUUUGUUAAUUUUAAAUAUCUAUGUUAAUUUAUAUUGCUCCUUGAACUUUUAGUUUGUAAUUUUGGUCAAUCCAUGUUAAUUUGUGUUUUCCUUAAAAUUAUUAAUCGUUAUUUUCGUUGAUCCAUGUUAAUUUUUUGUGGUCCUUUGAAUUUUUAGUUUUUAAUUUGAUGGCCUAUGUUAAUUUUUAUAUACCUCUGAGCUUUUAGUUGAUGAUUUUAAUAACCUAUGUUAGUAUAUAUUGCUUCUUGAAUUUUUAGUUUUUGGUUUUGGUUGAUCCAUGUUGAUUUAUAUUGCUCCUUGAAUUAUUAAUUAAUAUUUUGGUUGAUCCAUGUUGUUCAAUAGUUUUCUUUAAAUCUUAGGGUUUUAGUUUUUAUUUACCUCUUAUUAGUUUGUGAUUUAAAUAUCCUUAGAUGUUAGUUUUUAUUAUUUUCCAAUUAUUCAUUCUUAUUGAACCUAAAUUAGUUCAUGUUUUUAUUAUCUCUAGCAUUAGUUUGGUUGUUCCUCAUUAAUUUAGGUUUUAAUAUCCCUAGUUGUUGACUUUUUUUUAAUAUUUCAUGUUAGUAUAUAUUCUUAAUAAUUUUAGGGUUGGUUUCCAUUAAUUUAUUUUCUCAUGUUUUGAUAUUCUAGUUGUCAUUUUUCAAUAUUUCAUGUUAGUACAUGUUCUUAAUAUUUUAAGGAGUAGUUUUCACUUAUUUAAUAUCUCGUGUUUCAAUAUUUCAUACUUACUAGUUUUCGAUAUUUGAUUGUUAGUGCAUGUUCUUAACAUCUCUAGGCUUAGAUGCCAUUGAUCUUGUUAUUCCGUUAUUCUUAAAAUUUAUUGUUGGUAGUUUGAUGUUAGUUUUAUAAACUAGAUGUUAGUAUAUAUUUUUAUUUUUUAUUCUUUUUUAUGUUCAGUUUCCUUUACCCUUGAUGCAAUUAAUUUAUGUUAGUUUAAAAUUGUUUUUAUCAUUGUUAUUAUUAUUAUUGUUGUUGUUGUUGUUGUUGUUGUUAUUAUUAUUAUUAUUAUUAUUAUUAUUAUUAUUAUUAUUUGUUAACCCAUAUUGAUUUUUUUGUUGUCCUUUGAUCUUUUAAUCUUAGGUAUUGAUAAUCCAUGUCAUUUGAGUAUUAUUAGAUCAUUUUCAUGCUAUGAGAGUUCUCAUCUUUAAAAUUUUGGUAGUUUUAAGGUGUUAAAUAUUCUUAGUAUUAUUCAUGAUAAUUUUAUGUUAAAUAAUUUUUCUUAAAUGGCAGUAAAUUAGUUUCAGGAUGAUUUUUGGUUAUUUGUUUGAUAUUAGUUAGAUUCAUGUUAUUUAGAUUAUUUGCAUGCCAUUAAAAGUCUUAUCCCUUAUAGUUUAUUAAUUCUUAGGUUUUAAUCUUCUUGUUUUAGUUUCAUGUCAUUCGAUAAUUUUCCAUGAUAUUGAAAGUUCUCAUCUUAGAAAUUUAGUAGUUUUUAGGUUUUGGAUCCUCUUGUUAUUAUUCAUGUAUUUUGAUUGUGUUAUUGUAUUAAACGUUGUCUUUUUUGGAAACUCGGUAGUCUUAGGAUUUCGAUCCUCCAAUUAUUAUUCAUGCAAUUUGUUUGUGUUAUGAAUUAAAAAUUUUAUCUUGGAAAGUUUAGAAGUUCUUAGGACUUAGCCUCAUUCUUAUUUUAGAUUCAUGUUAUUUAUUUAUAUUCAUGCUAUUUAGAAAUAUGGUUGCUCAUCUUUUAAAGCUCGUUUUUCUUUUAAGACGUAGUUUCUUGUUACCACUCAUGGUAUUUAAUUAUUUAUUUAUUUUGAAAGCAUAUUGGCUUGUUUGGGACUCGAAUCUCCUUAUUAAAAUUCUUGUUUGAUCUUUUAUAUUUGAAAGCAUGUUAUUUUUUUGUGAUUUAGUUAAAAUUCAUGAUGUUAAUUGUUUAUCUUUCAAAGAUUGAUUUUUAGAAAAGGAUUUUUAAAAAUUGACAUUUUGAAUUAAGUCAAAAUCACUUCUUUUCUUUCAAAAAAUGAAUUUUUCCCCAUAAAUGAUGUGGCUCCUUGAUCCCAAAUGAAAGGUAGCCAAUAAGGCAAUGCAUGUUGAUAAUUCUUUUGUUUUCAAAUCCCUUUUAAAUUAGAAAUAAAAUAAAGUAAAAUAAAAACUUCAUUUUGUGUCCAAUGUUUUGGAUUCAUCAAAUCACAUGGUUUCUUUUGCUUUCCUAAAAUCAUUCUCAAACGAAUUUAAAUCUUUUUUUAAAAAAAAAAAAAUCUAUUCUGGGUUUUUAAGGCUAAGAUCUCACUUUGUUUUAAACAAAAAAAUAUAUAUGUAACUUAGUUUUAUCCAGAUUGCAUUCCUUUUUCUUAGUUUUCUAAAACUUUAUUUUCUUAACAUAGAUUUAAACUUGUGCUCCCAAGCUAGUAGGAAUACACGGGUGAAUCUUAUGAAUAUUAAUUGGGGAUUCGAUGGGACCCCAACAUAAAAGAAUAUUUUCAAAACUUAUUUUUGUUGCCACUUUUUCUACUUGUUAUAAUCAUAGCCGUCAAUUUUUUAGGAAUAAUAUGCAAGAUGUAUGUGAAAAUUGAUGACUUUGUAUACUCUAAUCAUUUUUGUUAUGCUAUUUAGAUACCAAGCAUCCUAGGAUUUCUUUCUUUUAUUAUUUAUUACUAGAAUUUUGAUCUAACCUUCCAUGUCCUAUGAAAGCGCAUUAUAAGUUAUCUAUGUUAUUCAGGUACUCAUCUUACCUUCGCAUUUUAAUUCCAUAAAUUAUGUAUUGCUUUAUAUAUGAUCAUUACGUAUUGCUACGUAUGUGAUUGUCAUGUUUAGCUUAUUUUUUUUAUUGUUUGUUUGGUUUGUCAUGUUUGAUUAAGAGACUAGGGUAAAAUGCAUGAUGUGUGUUUAUUUUCUAAACUGACCAUUGAUGUCUUGUGAUAGUGCUUAAGUUGCGAUUCAGGCAUGCAAUACAAUCCUUUCUUUAUGAUUGUGUUUUGAAUUCCUGUUUGGCUUGUAAGUGUUGAUAGAUUUUAAAAAUCACCUUAAUCCAUCUAAGUAUCCAUAAUCAACUGACUAAUUGUCAUAUUUCCAUCAACUUAGCUAGUAGAGACCUCUUUAAGGCUUAAAGGGAUGCUACCUCUUUGGAGGUACCUUCCCAAUAGGUAACCUAAUCCCCAAACCCAGACUCGAGUUUUUCGUAGAUAACUUUUUCAAAAGCUAGGAGUCAUUUUAAGGGUUUUGUUCUUACUUGAUUUCCCCUUUUAAAAUUAAAUAAAUAAAAGUAAGUUGUGACUUUAGUUUUUUUUUUUUUUUCGUAAAAUGCAAUGUUUCCGUAAACAAAAGUGAGUCUCGCCAAUCGAGUGGGGAUGUAUUGUGAAAAAUGUGGGUCCACAACAACCCUUCAAGGAAUGUGUCUAGUAUUUUAAAGACAUUUCUUCUAAAGGUCACCUUCAAAUCUAUAAACAAACAUCUCUUCUGAAUGAAUAUUCAUCCAUUCUCUCCAAUCUCUCUUUUAUUGUCAUUCAAGUCCUCCUUAGCUUCAAGUCUAGUCAUUUCUCUUUUUUUUUUACCAAAUAUUUGGUAUACAAGUGAGUACAAAUCACCAAGUGAUUCACCAUUUUUUUGUGAUUUGAAGUGUUACUAUCGCAAAAAAGUGACCAUUGUAUCUUGGGAGACAAUUGUCAAUAAACCAUAAGCACCUGAACGGGAAAAAUUCAUCUUAAGGACAUAGAGUCAAACUUUAGCCUCGAUCAACCUUAUUUGUGAGUUUCAAUUUCCUACUUAUUUUAUUUAUUUGUAUAUCUACUAUACACACUUAUUAUCCAUAUAUUUUCAGUGAUUGGACUACAACUUUUAAUCGUAAAUAGAGAUUUCUUCUCCAAAUAGGAUUUUAGGAGAAGAAAUUAUGUUUAUGGAAAAGUUUUUACUAUAAAAAAUCAAAUUUAAUGUAGUAGAUCUUGACUUAUCAUGUUUGAAAGUCUAUGAUUAUUGAUAAAAAAAAAAAAUUAAUGUUAUUUUUCUUUUAAUUACAAGUCUGUUAUAUAUAAAAAAGUUAAUAUUUAAGUAUAAAACCUUUUAGAAAUGUAACUCAACUCUAUUUAUGGAAUAAUUUUAAAUUUUCCUUUUAGCGAAAGUUGAAAUAAACAUAAAAUAACUACUUUUAUUAUAAGUUGAUUUUAUGUUUGGAAUAGAAUGCUUUUAUUAUAAAUAAAGAAUAAUUAAGAUAUUUUAAAAUUUUAGUUAAAUAAAACUUGUUGAAUACACAAAUAUUUUCUCUCUUUACACCCAUCUUAUUUUAAUUUUAUUUUUUUUAUAGUAAAAAUGUGAAUGUCUUUUUCUUCAUCAUCCUUUUGAUGCUCAUGUCUCAAAUCUUAAUUAGCUUUCUUAUUCACUUUUCUUCCCCUUUCCUUUAUUUUAUUUCAAUUUUCUUUUAACUAAAAUAGAAAAACAACUAAAAAAUAAUAAUAGUUGGCGUGCAACCAUGACUAUUGUCGGUAUAGAUAGAAAAGAAUUGGUGGAUUAAAUAACCACUAAAUUAAUCAUCAAAACUUUAACUUUUUAACUCAAUAAAAUUUAGACUUGACAAACAAUGGGUCAUACACAUUGAACAAAUGUUAUGCAAUUCAAAAAGUGAUAUAUGGCAAAAUUUGAAAGGCCACAAAAUCAAAUCUUGUAAAAUAAAAAUAAAAUAAAAUGAUUAAAGUAAAAAAGAGAAUUAGAAAAAGAUACUCUCUUGUUAGUAAAUUUCUGAAAUGAAAGAAACAAAUUGCUUAAUUGAAGUCAAAAGAGAAUUGUAAAGAAAUAUUCUCUCGUUGAUAAAUUUUUUAAAUGAGGGGACACAAAUUGCUAAAUCAAUCAAUCAAAUCCCUUAAAUUGAGUAAUCAACUAUUGGGGAUUCCAAAUUUAAUAUCUUAACUUCACCUAUAAAUAAAUAUCAACUCCUUCAAUAUAGGGGAUUAAAAAAAUAAAUAAAUAAAUAAAUUUAAGAAGAAGACAGAGAAAAAAGGAUUCUCAAGGAGAAAAAUGUUUCACAAUAUGCCCCCUACAAGUCCAAAAAAAGCACAUGAAAAACUACAUACAUACUUUUCACCAUUCUCAAAGUUCAAUAAAGUCAUUUAGAAACAAACUAUGUAAGACUCUCAAUUGAACUUUAAUUUCAAAGAAAUACUUACAUCGUCAUUCACUAGAUUAUGAUUAAAACAAUCAAAUCAAAGGAAAAUUUUCUUUACAAAGAAUAUUAUAAUGGAGAAUUAUACCUCAUAAUUUUUCUAAUUAGGAAAAUUUAGGUAGGUGUAUUUAACAACUCAUUCAAAAAUAAAUUUUAUCCCUAAAAAAUUAAUAUACAUUUAUAGGAGCACUAAGUGACAAAAUUCGAAACUAAUGGAGAUUUAAUGCAAUUUUAUGAAGAUUAGACUGAACGAGGACCGGAUUGGUCUAGUUCACCACAUCAAGCCAAAAAUGAGUUGAAUCGACAUUAAAUCGGUCCAACCACUAGGUGAGUUAGCUCAGCCAAUUCAAGAGCUACACUUUACUCCCUUUUUUCUUUUCCAAAACUCACCUAACGGUCCAACACAUAUAAGCCCAUAGUUAAUUUGCAUGAAUGACAAGUUUAUAUAGUCUACUUUUGCUUCAUGCUUUUUCAAUGUAGAAUCAAGUGAAUUUUUGUUUUUCGAGACUAAAUGUCAUGACCAUGGGAUUUGAACAAAAGAUGGAACACCCAAGUUAUCCUUACAUGUUUGCAAAGAAAAGCAUUUGAAAGUGAUUGCUACUCAAAAAGUGCUAUUUGAUAGCCUGUAAUUAACUCUUUUAAACACUUUUGAGUAGUAGUUAUCACCUUUGAACCCAAUUAACAUAUUAAGGACCCUUGCAAUCAAUUCUAAUCAAAUUGUGUUAAGUUUUGGUGUUUUGAUAGCUUUUUUAUCACCAAAGCAAUCCGUGAUUAAGGAGAGUUCUUUGGAAUCCAUAGCAAAGCAAUGGAAAGCUCAUAAACAUGAAGAACCGAAGCUUUGAAGUCCUUUUCCAUAAGCAGAUUCGGAACGCAAUGAGUAAAAGAUGUCCGGACAGGAUGGCAGCGGAAGUCAAUGAUCCGGACAACAUAUCCGGAUAGGAUAUGUUAUCGUCCGGGUAUGAUGUUCACGAGUGCCGUGUGCUUUUCCCUGAGGGAGUCCGGAUAAGGGGAGCGCGCCACAUGUCCUCUUGGGGAAUUCGGAUGGUGUUGAUCCGGAUAGCCUUGCGCUCUCCAUGUCAUCCGAGAGAGGGGUCCACUUACGCAACAUAGCUCAUUCCACCCGGGGAAGAAUUCUAUCCGGCCGACUUUCCACCUUCUCCGGACAUUUCAUAUCCAGAAUUCCGUGCGCCGACAUUUUACAUCCGGAUGUGAGCCGUGCGCCGACAUUUUGCAUCCGGAUGGGAGAGGAGGACGUUUCAGCUUCUCCGGUCAGACAUAUCCGGAUCCACUGAUAGCACUUACCAAGAGAGUUUUUCUCUCAGUAUACAGUGCCACGGUGUUCUCCUGAAGCUUCCUGAUAUUUCCGACCGACAUCCUGAGAUAUUUUGCUUUAGAUAUUUGUUAUCUAAAUCCCCAAACUCUCCUUGUAAUCCACCUAUCAUAGGAUUCCUUAGUCUUUAAGUAAGAACAAAGGGGUGAAUAACCUCAUAUAUAUAGUUUGUAAUUUUCUUUACAGAGGAUAAUUAUGUAAUCGACGGAAGAAAGAAAUAUAUUUCAUAGAGCACUUGCUCUGUUUUUCCUUCAUAUAAUUGUUUUCUCGUUAGUUUUCUUAUUAGACAAACAAGCUUUGAGGAAGUUUCCUCAGAGAAUGAGUGGCUAGACUUUUAGUUCCUUGGAGUUAAGGUUGCCAGGAAAGGUUCCAAGUGCAAGAAUUAGUAGCUUUGUGGUUUCAGUCAUUAAUGAAGAGAAAGUGUGAUCCUUUAAUGAUUUCUAUGUUUUUAGUUAACUUAAAACACCUUCAAGUCACUUGAGCCAACACUUGGUAAGGCACGUGAUCUCCGUCCAUGGAGAUGCACUAGUUUACCUCUUGCGAGCUUUUGGGAAGUGACUUGAAGGUAGGAUUUUCUAGAAUUGCCAACACUUGGUAAGCUUUUGGACUCCAAGGAGACAUCCAUUAGUUAUCUCUUGCGAGCUUGAGAAGGGAAGUCCAAAGUUAAAGAUCACCUUGAAUGGAAAAUUCUAGGUGAGAGGCACGAGCCAUUGCAAGUUGCAUCAGUGAGAAGGAAUUAGAGCUGAAAUCCAUUUAAAGGAUACAUCUGUACAGCACCGGUUAGAGAAUUGACUAUAUGUUAAUUCUCUAAUGCGAGGAAAUGAACCAAAUGACCAGAGCUCUGUUUUUGCAUAAGGAACCUCCCCUGUGAACCUAAACCUCCAAGGAAUGUUUUUCUUCAUAAGUAAUUUCCAUUACUUUCUUUUCAGUUAGCUUUAAACAAAACCUCAUUUAAACAAAGUUUGUGUUUUAUUUCUUAAGCUAACCUUGAAAUGAAAAAGCACCAAUUUACUUUGAAUUGGUAUCACUUGUGAGUUGAAAACCCUUCCCAGUGAACGAUCCUAGAGCCACUAUGCUAUAUUAGCUAAGCUAUCCUAAUGCAUGGUGAUAUAGGUUAUAAAUUUUGUUGAUUACUCUCUCAAUCAAAGAGCACCAGCUAGACAUGAAUCAGUUGAGACACCAAUUGGGAACGAAUCAAAUGGCGCCAUUGCCGGGGAAGGUGCCAACUUCAUAGUGAUAUUAUUUCAGGGUACUUGUGGUUGUCAUCACAAGUUUGGUGAGUUUUCUCUCAUUUUACUAACUCUUUUAGUUUUUUUUCUUUUACUCGUUUAUAUUCUAGCAUAGUUUUUAAUUUAGUUUUAGUUAAUCGAACUCUUUUUGGUAGUUUUGUUUUUGUUUUCCUCUGUUUUUGUUUUUUUUUUUCUUUGUUACAGUUAAUACUAGUUGUGUAUGCCAAAGUGGAUACGAGAUUGUGGAGGAAGGCUUGUUAAACUUGAAACACCUCAUAACAAGGAGUUGGAAGUAAUCUUGAACAUCAUGGAAUCAAAAAGCUAUAUAUACAUUAUUGAAAAUUUUAAAAUGAAUAUAAAUAUUUAUGAUUUAUCUAUAAUAAAUAUGGGAAUAAUAUAAAUAAAAAACUAAUAAUUUGAAGAUAAUAAAAUGUAUAGCAAUUGAAAUACAAACAAAUUAAAAUAAUAAAAUCUUUUUAUCUUAAUAAAUAAAAGUUACUCAUUUAAUAAAACAAAAAUUACUAAUAAUUUAAUAAAUCAUUAAGUUAUCCUUAUCAUAUUUUAAGCUAUCAAUAUUAACAAUAAUAAAAUGAUGAAAUGUGUUUAAAAUUUAAUUACUUAUUUAUUUUCUUAUUUUGUAUAAUUGUUUUUAGUUUUAUUAAUAAUGCAAUUUAUAUAUUUAUGACAUCAUUGGUUUAAUCAUUUCAACCAUCGAUUUGAUCAGGGAAUUGUGAACUAAUAAUUUUUCCAAUUUAAUGAUUAAUCCAACUUUGAAAACAUUAUUUUAAUGUAUGUACACUAAACCUUAGCGGAUGUGAUUGAAAUUAACUCAUACAAACAAUUUUGUUCGUAUAUAUUUCUAGUUCUUUUACUUAUGUUUAUAUGACUUUUGAAAUUUGCACAUAUAAUUGCUAUUGAUAGCAUUUGGAUAUGCAUUCUAACCUAUUGGUCAUGACUAAGCAAAACCACUAUAAACAACCAUGACAUGAGUACCAACAAAGCCAAGUCACUCACCCUCUUCAUAUAGUUUUUAUUUUUAUUUUUAUUUUAUUUUUAUUUUUAUUUUUGUUAAUGUUUGGAUAUGAGAAUAAGGAAAAAAAGACAAGACAUGCAAGCAAGGGAAAGGAAAAGUAAUGGGAGGGAUAAAAGAUUCAUAAUAAUGAUAAGGGCUUAAGUAUGGUACAGAUAAGACCUUUUUAGUACCAAUUAGUGGGUAUCACAUAUGCACUGGUUCAUUGCUUUGUUCUUAGCAUCUCAUUAUUUUGUAUUGUGACCUCCCAAGUUGGAUCAAACUAUGCAUCACUUUCCUCCUCAAGAUCAAAAAUCCAAAAAAUAAAAAAGAAUAGGUCGAUUAGACAAACCUUUCUUCAAUAAUCAAGUUAACCAUGAGGUUAAGUGAAAAAGACAUAAAAGAUUAAAUUGUUUUUGUACCUUAUUUUGGUGUAUUAAUUAUGAGAAGUUAAUAAAUGGAGGCAUCAAUUAUAUAUUAUACCUUCAAUGAUUUCCAUUAUCAAUAUCUUAAAGGCUCUAAUCAUUAUGCAAUAAUUAUGGAAUGACAUUUAAGGUUUUGGUCAUUACAUGAUUAAUAUGUGAGUCAUUGUCAUUACAUAAUUAAUGUAUAGGUUAUCAUUUAUACAAGGUCGUAUUUUCAAAUACUGAUCAUAUUUUAUGAGUGGUAGUCAUUCCUAAAUGUGAUCAAUGCUUUUUGUGAUAUGAUGAUGAUAAUGAUCUAUUAUUGUAGUGAGGUGGGUCUCAUGGGACCUCAUGACAAGCAUUAUAUGGAGGUAGCACAUUGCUUUUUUUACUUUGCUACAUGACAAAGGAUUUUCAUAUCGCUACACUUCCUAUUUUACAUGUGAACUAAUUAUUUUAUAUUUUAGUUCCAUUAUUUUGUAGUUGAGUCUUAUUACAGGCAUUACAUUUUAAUCUCAAUGAUCUAUAUAAUGGUUACAUGUGUUUAUAACAUGGGUCUUUAUACUUUCAUUUAGUGACUCAGAUUUUAUUAUAUACUUAAAUGAUUAAGAUUAAAUUUUCAAUAUCAUAUCAAAUAUAAACCCAAUAUUUUUUUUAUAAUAAUAAAUUUAUUGAAGAAAUGUAUGACUGAAUAUUAGAGAUUGUGGCUCUCAAGUUAACACUAAAAAAACUAUGCACAUAGAAAAUUUUAGUGUUAAAAAACUUGAGGAGAAUUAUUUCCAAUUGGUGACAUGUGUUAGGUAUAAAGUUGCUUUUAAUAAAAUUGAUAACUACAUUACUUAAAUAUAAUACCUUAUUGGUAAUAAUAGUAAAGGUUUAAUUAUGACACCAAAUACUACUUUUUUUGGUAUCAUAUAAAAAAGUUAUCAUCAACUAAGGGUAUCAAAUGUAUGCAUGUUGAUCCUAUUACUUUGUACUUGAUAUCUAAUUAGUUAUACUUUAUAUACAUAAUGAUCGUAUUGGUUUGUAUCUUGGUUCAUUACUUUUCAACAUAUGAUACCUAGAUUUCAUUAUUUUAUACUAAGUGUUUCAUUGUUUUAUACCAUAUAUGUGAUCUCAUUGAUCCAUACCUUUGUUCCAUUAUCUUGUACCAUGUGAUAGCUCAGUUCCCUUGCUUUUGCUAUGUAUUACAUGGGACUUUGGUUCCAUUAUUUUGUAUUCAAUUGUGUUAUUAUUUUAUAAUUUAUAUAUAAUUCUAUUGUUUUCUACCUUAAUUUCACUAUUAUUAACUGUGAAUAACAAUCUCAAUAAAAAAGUUUUCUAUGAUAUGGGAUCUAUAUUAUAUAUUAAAUUUAUCAUAGAAGGAAGAUAAUUGCUCGCCAUCUAAUGCUCAAAAAAACUUAUGCAUAUGAAAGAUUUUCGUGUCAGAAAAUUAGAGAUUUUUUUUUUCUAGAAUUGAGUCAAAAAGGUACAUGUGUGACAUUUAAAUUUAUGAUUGAGAUAAGACCAUUUGGAAUUAGAGAAUUGAUCGAUGUUCAAUUAAUAAUGCAGCAGUGUUGAAAUUCAGUGGAAUUAAUUUAGUUACUAUUGAAUGGAUGUCUCACAAAGUGGACUAAAUUUUAUCGAUUUGAUUGAUUCGAAAAAUUCAUAUGUUUAACGGAUUUAAUAUUGGUGAUUAAUUAUAUCAAUUCGAAAAAUUACAUACUUCUUACAAUCAUUCAAUAUUAAAUUAUAUUGUUUAUUAGGGAGGAUUGAAGAGAUCAAAGAAUGCCAAGGAAAAAAAAAACAAUGACACACGCCCACAGGCUAAGACUUCAACAUUAGCUAGUGAUUUAUUCUAUAUUCUAUGUCAGCCAUGACAUCACCUCCAUUAUUCUUCUCCAAGCCAAAACCACAUGCUGAAGAUCUAUAUAUAUAUCUGAAUCAUCCGGUGUUUAAUUCCACUGAAAGUAAGAAAAUUUCUUAGAAUUUUCUCUGUUAGCCGUAGUAUUAGCUAGUGAUGAUGAAGAAAAUAGAGCUUAUUUUUGUCUCUGUCUCAGCUAUAGGACAUAUUGUAUCAACUGUGGAGUUUGCUAAGCUUCUUGUUGGUAGAGAUGACCGCUUCUCAGCCACUCUGCUCAUCAUGAAGCUACCUUUUGAGGACUCUGCGGCAACCAACUAUAUCCAUUCAGUUUCUGCUUCCGUUUCCGGGUCCAUUCGAUUUGUCCACCUUCCUGAACUCGACUCAGAUUCAUCAUCGUCAUCCACUAGUAUCUUAUUCUCUAAUAUCAUUGAAAGGCAGAAGCCUCUGGUGAGGGAUGCAAUUCACCAUCUCACUCGGUCUGAGUCAGGUCGACUCGCUGGGAUUGUGGUCGAUUUGCUUUGCACUUCCAUGAUAGAUGUAGCUAAUGAAUUGGGUGUUCCUUCCUACGUGUACUUCGCCUCCAGUGCGGCCUGCCUUGCUCUCAUGUUUCAUCUUCAAACCCUCAAGGACCACCAGGGCUUGGAUGUUACUGAGUUUGCUAACUCGGAUGCUGAGUUGGUGGUCCCGGGUUUUGUCAACUCGGUUCCUGCUCGAGUCUUGCCUGCUGUGGCGGUGGACAAGGAGGGUGGCGGAUCCAUGGAUUUCCUCGACCGGGCAAGGGGCUUUAGAGAGGCCAAGGGUAUUUUGGUAAAUACGUUUGUGGAGCUAGAAUCUCAUGUGAUUAACUCCUUUGUCGAUGGUACAACUCCUCCCAUUUACACAGUAGGGCCGUUAUUGAACUUACAACAUGCCAACAACCAAAAACAAGAUAGUGGCUUGGAUGUCAUCCGAUGGCUUGAUGAUCAGCCCACAUCAUCUGUGGUGUUUUUAUGUUUUGGUAGCGCUGGAGCAUUCCACAUGGAUCAAAUCAAGGAGAUUGCAAUUGGGCUUGAGAAUAGUGGGCAUGGUUUCUUGUGGACACUCCGAAGACCUCCACCAAAAGAUAAGAUGACACUAUCUAGUGAUUAUGUGAAUUUCAAUGAAGUAUUACCUGAAGGGUUCUUAGAUCGUACAUCUAAAAUUGGAAAGAUAAUUGGAUGGGCACCACAAGCGGCUGUUUUAGCUCACUCUGCAGUAGGAGGGUUUAUAUCUCAUUGUGGGUGGAAUUCUACAUUAGAAAGCAUAUGGUAUGGUGU